rnacentral:lncRNA from 1 species
CGCGUUGACGUAGAUGCGAUUUAAGGGAAAAGGGCCCAUUCCGAUAAAUAAUAAAAUAUCGGGCCCAUUUCGGUAAAUUUUAAAAAAAUUAGCUUUUUUUGAUUUUUUGCCCUUUUUUUUCUUAAUUAUUCAAUAUAUCAAAAUUUUAUGACUCAAUAAUUAAGUAUCUUUUUAUUUAAAUUACAUUGGUGGAAUUUUCCCCGUAUAUGAAAAAAAAAAACCUUACUAAAAAGUACGUUAAAAUGACUGAAAAUGAAAGAUAUAUAGGUAGAUAUUUUGGUGAAUACACAAUUAUUGGAAGAAUAAUUAAUGUGGCAAUUAGUAAAUAUAUGGUGGUAUUCGAUAAUAUUUGAAAUUGAAUUUUAUAUUUAAAAAAGUUCUUUUUUAACAAUUUUUAUCCUAUCUAUUUUUUUGAUACAAUGUUUAGAACUAUUCAUAAGGUCUCCGAAAUCCUUAAUUAAAUAUUAGUACUUUGUGGAUAUUUAAAACUUUUAGUUUAAUCAUUAAUUUCAUUAAAUUUUAUUAUUAUUUUAUUAAAUUUAAUAUUUUAAUUAAGUUGUCCUAAUAUAACAUGAGAUGAUAGGAUUAAUCAAGGAUGAACUCAAACUUUUUAAUUGAUUUACUCCAUAAGAUUUGUUGCACUUUUAAUAUAUAAUUAAAAGAUUUGCCACCAAAUAACAAACUUGAGGUGGUUCAAAGUGAUUAAUCAAACUUUUGGAAAGCAAAGUUUCAAAGAUCGUAAAAAGAUAAUAAUAGAAGUAAUAAAGCCCCUGAAACCCAAAAUUUUUUAGGUAAAAAUAAUCAUAUAUUGUUCAACAUUUUCAUGUUCAACUGUUCUAAAGGCUAUGAUUUUAGGGGAAAUAAAACCUACCCAUUUUGACAUUUAUGACAAAAGCUGACCCCAAUGACAUUGAAUUAUGUUUCAUUAAUUUAGAGCACUAAAAGUAGAUAAUUCAAUAGAAAUGGUAGACAAACAAGGAUAUUAAUAUUUCAUUUUCUUUUUAAGCAUUCACAUAUCCGAUAUACAUUAGUACAAAAAUAAAUAUAUUCAUAUCGAGCGUAUUUUUACAAGUUUAGAUAUCAUAAAGUUAAAGUGUAUGUCAUGUUACCUAUAUAUAUAACCAGUUGCCUAUUCUUUGAUUAUUCACAAGCCAAGGCAAAGACUGCAAUAAAGAAGUGGUUUUUAGUGUAUUACUCUCAUUCUCAGCUCUUCGAUAAUGGCGAGUUCACCGGCUCUUGUUUCAUGGCUGGUUCUAGUUUUAACCCUUGCAAUGGCAGUUUCAACGACUCAAGUCGAAGCUGCCAGGGCAUUCUUCGUAUUCGGUGACUCGUUGGUCGACAAUGGCAACAAUAAUUAUCUAGCCACCACUGCUCGAGCCGAUUCACCUCCUUAUGGCAUUGACACUCCGAGUCGUCGCCCCACUGGUCGCUUCUCGAAUGGCAAAAACAUACCCGAUUUCAUCAGUUGAGAUCGAUUUCUGCUUCUUUUGUUCUGUUUUUUAUGUUGCUUGUAUCAUAUGGACUUAAUGUGUGUGUAUUAUAAAAUCAGGUGAAGCACUCGGUUCGGAGCCGCUACUGCCGUAUUUGAGUCCGGCACUCAAUGGAGAUAGGCUACUUGUUGGUGCCAACUUUGCUUCGGCUGGUAUUGGUAUCCUUAAUGACACCGGAAUACAAUUUGUAAGUCCUCAAGUUUCUUUCAUUUCGUGACGUUAUGAUUGCUAUUUUAUGAGUCCGAAAAUGACGUUGGGACCGUAAUUUAAUCUCUGAGUCCAUGGCACUGUGACACUGCAGAUAAACAUUAUAAGAAUGUUCAGGCAAUUUGAAUACUUUCAAGAAUACCAGGGCCGGUUAGCUAACCUCAUCGGUACCACCGAAGCACAGCGGAUUGUAUCCGAAGCUCUCGUACUCAUCACCGUCGGCGGCAAUGAUUUUGUGAACAACUACUUCUUGGUCCCAUUUUCCGCAAGAUCUCGACAAUUCAGUCUACCGGAUUACGUUAGAUAUCUUAUCUCCGAGUACAGAAAACUUCUAAUGGUAAAAUUUUCAAAAACCCUAAUUUCAAAUUAUGCGCCACAUGAACUUGCAUAUAUGUAACAUAAAACAAUGGCAUAAAAUUAUGUUGCAGAGACUGUACGAACUUGGAGCGAGGAAGGUUCUGGUGACCGGCACCGGACCAUUGGGUUGUGUUCCGGCCGAAUUAGCCAUGCGGAGCCCGAAUGGUCAAUGUGCAGCCGAGUUGCAACGAGCUGCCGGCUUGUUUAACCCACAACUGGUUCAAAUGAUAAAUGGACUCAACAGUGAUCUUGGUGCUAAUGUUUUCAUUGCUGCUAAUACACAACAACAAACCAAUGAUUUCAUUAGCAACCCCAGAGCCUUUGGUACGUAUAUCCUAAUCCGAAUUUAUUAAAUAUAAUUUUUUAAAAAUAAAUGUAUAAAUCAAUUAAAUUAAACCAAUUCAAAUUUAUUUGUUCCACACUAACAAUAUGGCUCAUUAAUCAAAUAAAAUUAAAAAAGUACCCAAACUUCAUUUAUUAGGGCAACCUACCAAGGAUCAUUAUGAAAGCUACCAAAUAUUAUGGAUUUUGCUCCACAUUGAAACCCUUCAAAACAUAUUAAAUCAAUUUACUUUUUUACUAAUUAGUGUAGGGAUAUCUUUUGUUUUCUUUUUCAGAACCAGAGGUAUUCCGAUUAAUCAGAUAUUAAAGCACUCCAUAUUUGUUCAAGCUAAGGACUUAAAAUUUUGUACAAGCUCACUUAUUUUUGUAAUCGGCUAACCCAAGUCCUUUUAAGCCCACUCAUAUGAUUUUUAAAUUUUUUAAAUAUUUAUAUUAUUUUAAUUUAAUAUUUAAUGAUUGAUUAAUUGUAUAUAGUUUUUCAUUUAUUAAAAUUUUAUAGGCAUCUUAAUUUUUCUUUUUAAUGUUUACAUUAUAGUAUUAUAUAUUACUAUAUAGAUUUAAUUUCUAUAUACAUUUUAAAUUACAUAAUAUAAUACAUUAAAAACUUAAAAAUAGGUCAAAUCGGGCUCAAGCCUUAAAUAUUCAAGCCUGAGCUUGAUUCAUAUUUUAAAUAGACUUAAUAUUUUCACCCAAGCCCUCACAAAAUUUGGACUGGCCUCGAGCUUAGGCGACUACCUCGGCUCAAGAACAAAUCUACUCUGUCUUAUUGUUUGAAUUGUAUCCACAGGAUUUACUACGUCAAAGAUAGCAUGUUGUGGGCAAGGGCCUUACAAUGGACUAGGAUUAUGUACCGUAGCAUCUAAUUUGUGCCCAAACCGUGACUUGUAUGCCUUUUGGGAUCCGUUCCAUCCGUCGGAGAAGGCAAACAGGAUUAUCGUCAACAUGAUAUUGAGAGGGUCGACAAAUUACAUGAGUCCCAUGAAUCUAAGCACUUUAUUAGCAUUGGACACCAUUCCAGGGACUUAGUUUAAAUUACUUACAUGUUCUAAUAAGGAUAAUAAAGGGAAAAAGAACAUCUUGUCGGGUAUUUGCUUAGCCAUGCAUUUCUGUUGUGUCCUUCCUGAUGCUUUGGUUGUAAUUAAUCAAUAUUUCUUGGUGAACUGUAAUGUAAUGUUUUAAUCUAUACUUAUAUUUAAAGUUUUGACUAGUUGGUGUUAUGAACCAAUUAGACAUCAACUUAGUUGGAAAAUUAUUAAAAAUGGAUUCAUUUUAUAAAGUAAGUUAUAUGAUUGUAUGAUUUUUAUAUUUGUACUUAUAUUAAAACCUUGAUUGAAUUGUUGCUAUAAGUCAAUUGGACACUAAAUUUAGAAAAUUAUCAAAAAAAAAAGAAAUCAUUUUAUAAAGUAAAUUGUAUUAUCACGAUGAUACAUAUUUUAAUAAAUCAAUACAAAAUUACAUGAGGAAGGCUUUAAACCUUUAAAAUAAUUCAUUUUAAUUUCAUCAUUUCAAUAAAAAAUCCAUUUCUUUCUUAUUUAAAUUUUUAAUAAAUUUAAUUGUUAUAAAAUAAUUUCAAACAACACUCGGAAUUAGCCCUUGUCAUAAACAUAUAAAACAAUGCUAUUUACUAAUUACUACUAUGAAGUGACAUCAAAGAAAAUAAAUUAUAAAGCAUUUUUUUAAUAUAAACUUUCAUCGUAAUAAUCCAUUCUCAAUUCUUAAAUAAGAGAAUAGUGCAUUUCAAUACCAAUUGAGCUAAUUAAAACUCGAUAAUAUAUAUAUUUUCUAAUAAUUAACAUUAAAAUCAAUGGUAAUUCACUAAAUAUUUACGCUUUUUUCAUGUCUAAUCCCACAUUAAUUAGCUAAUAAAACUCACAUGCAACUUUCUUGAGCAUUUAUUACAACAUAAAUUGGUUAAUAAUGACAGUCAAUUGUCUCAAUAAUAACAAGGUAGCUUUUUCAUUUUUGGCAAUAAUGAUAAGUGAAUCUGGAUUAAUGGAUAACGAAAUAAUAAGCUUUUAACUUAUAAACAUUAUUCGACCAAAACUCCAUUUUAUUUUUACACAAAAAGAAACUAAAUUAUAUUUGGUAGCAUUAAUAUUUGAAUGUCCUCAUCAUCAUCCUCUAAAUUUCAAACUAAGCAGCUGGUUGUAUGAAGUAGACUAGGCAUUUAAUAACUUGUUUAGGUUUUAAUGAGUGGAGGAAAGUGGAUGACACAUUGACUCCAUGAUAGAGAUAUAUACUAUAACAUCAUUCAUUUUUUGUCCACAUUCGGUAAAAAUAAUUAUAAACUAGUCCUUUUUGUCUCUUCAUCGUCGCUUAACUACUGGAAGCGUCAGUCAAAGUGUUCUGAUGGUAAUUAAAUAGGUGUACCAAAUUUUAUAUAAUGUAAUCUAUUAAUGCAUAUGAUAUUUUAAUUUAUCAUAUAUAUAUAUGAUAAACGUGUAGAAAGUAAAAUGAGUGGGUUUCAUAAAUUUAAUCGAAUGAAUUGUUUCGAUUGAUUUAAUUAAUAAUCAAUUUAUUUGGUAAUAACGAAAAGUGAUCCAUGUCGUUCUCACUAAUGUCUAUAUCCUUAUGGACAUCUACACGGCAAUUUAAAUUUGAAAUCUAAAUAGAAAGUUGUUUGAAUGAAAUCAUAAAUGUAGACUCUUUGUUCGAGUCUCUUGCAUUGGUUGAUCCCUUCUUUUUGGGAUAUUUUAUUUAUUUUUAGUCGAGGUUUAUUUAUAAAUAGUAAAAAAUCAGCUUUAAAUAAUACGGUUAAAUCUUAUAUAAUAGGAACACAAUUGGAGAAAAAAUUGAAAUAAAUUAACCACAAUUACCAUUAGGUAACUUUCAACCUAAUACGAAAAAUGGAAAAACAAAAAAGACAACCUUACAUCAACCUAUGCGGCGCCUAAUUACUUUUGGUCUCAAAACAUUAUUUAAGGAUGAAUAUACAUCGGUUAAGUUGGUAGGAUGUUAAUGGAAAAUUUAAUGUUGCCUUUUUCAUGAAUAGUUAAAGAUUAUUUACCAUCAUCACUUCACUGUUCCAAACAAGCAUGGUAAAAUGAUGGUCGAAUUUCUUUACCUAAACUCAUUCGGGUUUAUUUGAAAACCCAUCGGAUUAAUUACCGCUCCAUCUCUAGUGAGGGUGUUUUUGGAUGGGUGAUGGCUGCAAUGAAAUAUUUUAUCUCACAGUUACAGUAAUUAAUAUCAACGCCACCAUUAUUUUUAACUUUACCGGAAAUAAAUACACCACCUAUUUAAAGAAACAAUGAAGUUUGUGAAAAUGUGCAUCUAUUUCUAAAUAAGAGGCUAGGAAUGAUCUACUAACAAAACUCCUAAAUAAAAUAGACUAAUUUCAAUAAAUUUAAAAUUAAAUAAUAGAAAAGGUUGAUAGUAAAAAACUUGGUUAGUCCAUAUGUCUCAUUGUGGAGCAACAUCAAGCUUGUUGAGGUUAUAUGUGAAAGUUGCUUUGGAUAGUGUUUUUAUAAGUGUAUCAACAAUAUGAUCGAUAGUGAAAAUGUAAGUGACAUAGAGAUUUUUAUGUUAUGUAUGGUUACAAACGAAAUGUAAAUUUAUCUCAAUAUACUUUAUUUUGCUAUUAAAAUCAAAUAUUGAUUGCAAGAAGUCACGCCUUAAUUAUCAUAGAAGAUUUUUGGAGGAUGAGAUGGCAAAAGUUUGAGCUAUUUUACCAAAUUCAUUAUCCGAAGCAUUUCAGGGGCAAUAGUUGCAAUUGCUCGAUAUUUAACUUUAAUGAAGGAGCAAACAAUGAAUAAUUAUUUCUUUGAAGACCAACUUACAUGAUUUUGACCAAAACAAAGAAUAUAUCUAGUUGCCAAACUACGAUCAAUGUGAUUACCUACCAAAUCAAAAUUUGAGUACAUAUAAAGAUUUGGAUCUGAAUGGUGUGUGAAUCGAGGUUCAUUUCAAGUAAUGUAUGGAUGAUAGAGGAUGCAAAAACUAAGAAUGAUCGUUCACAACAAACAAAGUAUCAAGUCUUGUAAAGGAAAGAUAUUGGAGUUUCUCAAUAUUUCGCAGGUAUACAGUGGCAUCAACAGAGUUAGAUGCACCUUGAAGUUUGUAAUGGUGAGAGGAGCUCAAUAAAAUAAGAAUUCCUUUGCUAUCUUGCAUCCCUAUGCUAUUUAGGAUAUCUUGUCACUACACCAAAAUAGGUUUUUAGCGGCGUUUUUUUAGGCCUUUAGCGGCGCUUUUUAACGCCACUAAAGAUCUUUGCGGCGCUUCUUCAAGCGCCGCAAAAAAUGCCGCUAACGAAAACGUCGCAAACGUUUGCAGCGUUUACAAACAAAAACGCCGCUAAAGACCAUGUUCUUUAAAAUAAUAUUUUUUAACUUAUUUAUGAAUUCUAUUUAAAAUAAUAUUUAAAUAUAUCAAUUGGUACUUUAGAUUGAUUUUUUAAAAUAUUAUUUAAAUAAAUUAAUCUAAACUAACCUAAAAUCCUUAUUUGACCCCUAAACCCUAAAUCUUUAACCCCUAGAUCGCAACUUGUAACCCCUAAACCCCUAGCUAACUCUUAUAUCCCAAACCCUAAAUUUGUACCCCCUAAUCCUUAAAAUAGCACGGCCAUCCAAAAUAAUCCCUAAAUAUUUAAUAAAUAUCAUAAAAUAGUUAUAAUUGAUUAAACAAUAAUUAAUACUAAAAACUUUUUGUAUAAAGUUUGCUGACGUGGCAUGAACAGUUUGUGUUUUUAGCUUGGAAAACUUUGAAAUGCCAUAACUUUUGGCUCGGUUGUCCGAUUGAGGCGAAUUUUUUUUUUGAUUUCGAAUAACUUUUCGAGAUCUACGCGCUGGUUUGCCGAAGUUUUCUUUGAAAAAGAUCCUCUUUUGCCCCUCAAUUUUGAUUUUUUCGGUUUAAAAUUAAAUUUUGAAACAUUCAAAUCGUUAUUUUCCUCAUUUAUUUGAAGUAAACACCGAAUAUUUUUUUACACAAUUGUCUUAUAUCAUCCUGUUAUAGGUAUAACUCAGCUCAUUCCACUUUUGAGAAGUUCCCUAACAUUUUCCAUUUUAUUCAAUUUAGUCCCUAAAACCUAAAUAGUCAUAUUUUCAAAUCUAAGCUUCGUUUUUCAAUUCAAUUUCAAUUUCAUCAUUCUUUCAAUUCAAAUUCACAAAUUUAUUUAAGUAUAUAUUUAAGUGUUAUUCAUGAAUUAUUUGAGCAUUACUAUUCAAAUUAGUAUUUAAAUUAAUAAUAUACCGAAACCAAAUCCUAUACCGAACCGAAAAAUCCUAAACAAAUUUAUUAUUACCUCUUUUACAAUUAUAUAUAUAAGAACAUAUUUAAAAUAUAAUUUGGCAAUACUAAUUAAUCUAAACCCUAGCUAAACCCUAAAUCCUUAAUUAACUCCUAAUAACCCCUAAGUGCUAACCCCAACCCUAACCCCUAAACAUUAUAUCUCAGCCCUUACACCAUAUCCCUAAAUCCAAUAUUAUAUAUAUAUACUCCUGAUCAAUUAUAAUAAUAACCUUAAAAUAGUAACCCCUAAACCGACUUAAAAUCUUAAAUUAAUAAUAUCAUAUAUAUACCCCUAAAACCUAAAACCCUAUAUUAACUAUAGUGAUACGCUUAAUUCAAUAUUUUAAAUUUAAAUUAAUACUUACUAUCUCUUUUAAUUACGAUAAUAAUUUCAAAUUUUUAAUAUAUAAAUUAAAAAACAAUCAGUAAUGUACCCAACAAAAACUUUAAAAUUAUUUUAAAUAAUACUAUUUUAAUUUUUCCAUGUGUUUUAUUUCAAAUUAUUUAUACCUGUUAUUUUUUAUUGAAGAUUUUAAAUAUUCUAUUAGAAAUAUGUUUAAUUUGAUUCAAAUAAUAUAAAUAAUAGUUCAAUUAAGAUAAAUUUUUUUUGCGGCGCAUAAACAAAAACGCCGCUAAAACACCUAGAUUAGCGGCGCUUUACAAAAAACGCCACUAAUUCCCCCCCAAAGGACACAAAACGGCACCGUCUUGGUGUAUUAGUUGCGGCGUUUUUUAUAAACGCUGCUAAUGUUCACUCUUUAGCGACGCUUUACAAUAAACGCCACUAAUUCCCCCCCAAAGGCCACAAAACAGCACCGUCUGGGUGUAUUAUUUCUGGCGUUUUUUAUAAACGCUGCUAAUGUUCACUCUUUAGCGACGCUUUACAAUAAACGCCACUAAUUCCCCCCCAAAGGCCACAAAACGGCACCGUCUGGGUGUAUUAUUUCUGGCGUUUUUUAUAAACGCUGCUAAUGUUCACUCUUUAGCGACGCUUUACAAUAAACGCCACUAAUUCCCCCCCAAAGGCCACAAAACGGCACCGUCUGGGUGUAUUAUUUUUGGCGUUUUUAAUAAACGCUACUAAUGUUCACUCUUUAGCAGCGCUUUACAAUAAACGCCACUAAUUCCCCCCCAAAGGCCACAAAACGGCACCGUCUGGGUGUAUUAUUUCCGGCGUUUUUAUAAACGCUGCUAAUGUUCACUCUUUAGCGGCGCUUUACAAUAAACGCCACUAAUUCCCCCCCCCAAAGGCCACAAAACGGCACCGUCUGGGUGUAUUAUUUCCGGCGUUUUUUAUAAACGCUGCUAAUGCUCACUCUUUAGCGGCGCUUUUCCUUAAACGCCACUAAUGCUCACUCUUUAGCGGCGCUUUUCCUUAAACGCCGCUAAUGCUCACUCUUUAGCAGCGUUUUUGCUCUAAACGCCGCUAAAAGUGCCGCUAAAAGCUUGUUUUGGUGGAGUGUGUAUUUACUUUAUAAUAAGGAUAAACUAUCUAUAUUUAGAAUUACUUUAAUUUCAAGGAAAAGGAAUUAAUCAACCAACUUCUUUAAGUGAAAGUCUAUGUGAAACAAAAGUAGUAACCUAUUGAACAACUAGUGAAUCACUACUACUUGUUGCAAUAAUAUCACUUAAAUAGACAAGUAGAUAGAUUAAAAUAUCAAAGUCAUCAUGGAUAAAUAAGGAUGCAUCAUAGGCGGAUAGUUUGAAGCCAAUUUGCAGUAGAAAAUUUGUGAGUUCUGUGUUUCAUUGCUAAGAUGAUUGCUUAUGUCCAUGUAUCACUUAACUAACAAAAAUAGUCAAAUGGUUUUGAUCUUCAAAACUCGAUGGUUGCCUCAUAUAAACCUAUUCAUCAAGAUUGCCUUGUAGAAAGACAUUGUUGAUGAUAGUCUGUUGUAGUGCCUAUUGAUUUUGAAUAGCCAUUGAUAAUGGUGGUAAGCUUAAUGAAAGGCCUAAAAGUAUAGAAUGAUAAUCCAUACCUUCUCGCUAAAUGUACCCUCUAGCAAUAAUUGAGCUUUGUAAUGCUCGGUUCUUCCAUCUUAUUUAAUUACGAAAAUCCACUCGUGGUAAAUUACAUUGAUAUGGUUUAAGCUACCGAUUGACAAAAGUAGGCAAAAAAUUGUGGGUUCUUUCAUCAAGAAGGAGUAUUUUGGAGAAAUAUUGUGGGUUGACUAUUUAAGAGAUAAAUUGCAUAUUUGUAGGUAGGGACAAAAUCAAAAAAUUCUUUUAGUGGUCGAAAUUAAAUUAUAAUUUUUAUAAUAGUAAAAAUAUAAUUUCACCAUUUGAAUAACUUAUAUCUUUAUAAUUUUUAAAAGGUUAAAUCAAAAUUUUUUAUUAUUUUUAAAUAAGCCUAUAAUUUUACUUUUACUAAUUAAAAAUUUUAAAAGGUUUAAAGGGUUUAAAUGAAAAAAAAUUCAUUUUAAGGGUACCAGGUCUCCUUCGAGCCUCCUAACUACCCUAUUUGUAGGUGAAGUUCCAAAAAUUAAAUGGGAUGAAUGUUGGGCGUAACAACGUUUUGGCUAUUUUUAUUGUGUCUAUGGUAGAGGUGAUCAUGGGCCGGGCCAGGUCAGGUUCGGGCUGGGCCCAACCAAAAUUUUAGGCCCGGGCUUUGCUCGGCCCGAAAUAUAGACUUAAAAAUUUGUCCAAUCCCGGCCCGAGAUAAAAUUGCUAAGCUCGAGUCCGGCCCGGCCCAUAUUAAAUAUAUAUUUAAUAUAUAUAAAAUAUAUAUAUUUGAUUAAAAAUAAAAAUAUAUAUUUAAUAUAUAAUUCAGGCCGGGCGGAGCUCGGGCCAAAAAAAUUUUGCCCGAUGCUCGAAAACGGACCUCGUUUUUUUACCCUAUAUUUUUACCCGAACCCUCCCAUUUUUCGGGUGAACCGUUAGGCUGAGCCGGGCGGCCCGACCCAUGAUCACCUCUAGUCUAUGGCAACGUUUAGCAAUAGUGAUGCGUUAUAAGAUGGAUAUUUGAGAUAUUUGAUAUCUUGGGAAGUAAGAUGCAGUUCUAGAAGCUAAAAUUCACCACCAUCAUUUGCAUAAAAUGAAACUAAUUUACUGUUACAAAAAUUCUUCUUCUAAAGGUGAUGAUUUUGAAAUUUUAACUGUUUCAUUUUUGGUUUUCAUAUAUCUAGUAUUGGUAAGAGGGUAGCCUUCACACAAGUCUCAAAUUAAUCCAAAGUUGUUUUGAAGAAGACUCGAUUUUAACUCGAUUGAAUCCUUCGAGAAAGAUUUCCUGAUAAACUCAAUCAAUAACUCUAACCAACUCUCCAAGAACGAAUCCUUGGCAAGCCAGAGUUGGAAGAACUUCCCCCCAAAAUCUUGAACUAGAAUAAGUAAAGAGAAUCUUCUAAAUAAAAACAAUAAUUGAAUCUCGCAAAAUAAAAUACUUGGAAAACAAGGAAACAACCCUUCCUUUGUCUCUAAAAAAUUGAUCUAGUCAUAAUCUUACUCUUGAAACUAAAUUAAACUAAAAUGCUUAAAAACUCGUAAUAAAUAAAUCCCUAAAAUAUAAAACUUCAUAAAUACAUUAUUGGGCUUAUAUAUAAUCAAAAUUAAUCCUUAAAAUUGAACUCAAUAUGAUUUAAAAGCUAAGCAAAGUCAAAAACACAUAAUUAAUGUUUUAACCACGUACAAAAAAUUUUGCUUACAUAGUCUUCACUAAAACGAUCAUACAUUGGGCUUCUGAACUCAAAAUAAGAUGAUUCGAAAUGCGUUUUGGAGCUAAGAGAUAACUCUUUCUUCAUGCAGAAGACAUAUCACUCCAAAAAUGCCUGAAUCCCAUUUAAAAAUGCAUCACAAGUCGGUUGGUCAGCUAAUUUUUCAGACUUAAAAAUUGACAGCUUUGAUAGACUAAUACCCUAAAUCAAUACAAAAUAGGGUUAAUCUACCUAGGAAAAUAACUUUAUCACAUUUUAUCAUAGAAUCGCAUUGCUAUAUUCACAUAAAAGUAACUCCUAAGUGAAAGUUAAAUUCCAACUAAAGUAAAUAAAAUUUAAUAUUUAUCAAAUGUUGAAAUAACCUUCCAACUAAUUAAAUUAUCGGGAAAGUAACUACUUUUCAUUAUACCAAGCCGAUACUCAAGUCUAAAAUAAUAUCUUCCCUCUGCUUGUUUAUCUUCUUUUGCUAUGAACUUAUAUAAAGUCAAAUGAGUGGUACUGAUUUAGUUGAGUUUUCGGUCCCAUUCCAUUAAACUUUCUUUAAACUAUACAACAAAAAUGAAGAAGCUAAUCAUGGUACAAAAUGCAAAAGAAAAGUCAAAUGCAGCAUAUACAAAAUGAUUAGUUUAGGCUUUUAGGGAUUUAACCGGUCGAUUUGAUAUUUUUUCAAUUAACUGACUUUGACUUUUAUUAUAUAUUAUAAAUUAUAUUAUAUUUUAUAAUAAUUUAAAAAUAAUAUUAAAUAAAUCAAUUUUUUGGUCUGUUUAAUUUCGAGAUUCAAAAAUCGAUAAUCGAUUGAAUUAACCAAUUAAAUCAAGAUCAAAACAUACUAAUCUGUCUCACGACUCAAUUGAAAUCGAAAAAACCAAAUAGGUUAAUUUUUUGGUUAAAAUAAAAAAUUGCUCUCUUUUAAAAUUUUAUUUAGCAAAAUAAAAAAAAUUAGUAGAACUGAAAUUAAAUUAUAAUUUUUUGAGAAAUAAAAAUAUAUUUUAUUGAUAAAUUCAUAAAUUUAAAAAAUUUUACAAAACCAAGGAAGUGAUAACCCAACUUUCAAAAAUAAGUAAUAGCCCUGGACCUCUCUAUGGGUGGCCUGUUAGACUAGGCCGUUGGCUAGUUUGGUUCCACAUUGUGAGAAAAUUUGAAAAACGUAGAAUUUAAAAAAUAAAAAGAAAAUUGAGCUGUUGGAAAUUCCAAAAAAUUUACGGAUUAUUUUUUACAACUCCCUCGUGCUUCUCUUAAUAUAUUAUAAGUGUUGGGUGUAAAUGUAAGAUAUAUUACACUCUUGAAGAGAGAAAAUAUAAUAUUAUUAAAAAGGACAACUACGAACUUCGAAUAUAAUGAAUAUGAAAGUAUCAAAAAUAAUAUUAAAGACUGACGUUUUGUGCUUAUUGAAAGUUCUUUCUAAAAAAUUAUCUGAUAUUUUCCAUAAAUGCUAAAAUCAAAAUUUUAAUUAAAAAUAAAUUAAAUUGUACUAAAAAAAGUCAAUGUAAAAUAAAUAAAAAUAAAAAUUCACUAAAAAAAUCCCAAAUGAGAUUAUAAACAUUUCUUUGGGAACAAAUUUGGCCUGUCAGCUCGUUAAGGAAAAUCUCAAGCUCACAAAUAGAGGGGUGCAGCUAGGAUUUAUGUGAUUGGUUGAGAUAAAACUAAAAAAAUUGGGGGUUGAAGUUAAAAAUUUUAUUUAUUUAUUUAAAUAAUUGCAUUUAUUUAUAUAAUUUUUCGAAGAUAAAAUUAAAAUUAAAAUGAUAUAAUAAUAAAUUUAACAUUUAACGUUUACAUCUUUUAUUAAUUUGAUCCUUAAAUUUUUAAAAAGAGUCAAAUAGUUUUUUUUAAUAAAAAUGUUGGCUAAACAUUAACUUUUUAUUGAUGCUGACGUAGUAACCUACAUGAUAGUUCAUGUUUCAUGCUAACAUAAUACUAUUUGUCGUAUAUGUCGUAUUAAUAAAUAAUUUAAAAAUAUAUAAAAUAUUAAAAAAGGUAUAGAAAGUUCAUAAAUAUUCAAAAGAGUAGCAUGAAAUGCACGUGAAUUGUCAUAUGGGCUGCCAUAUUUAAAAAUUAAUGUUUUAGUUCUGUUAAAAACUAACAAUUAAACUCUUUUCGAAUGGCUGAUAGUCAAAUUUGACUUUUCUUAAAAAGGUUAAGGCUAAUUUUAACUGAAAAAGUAAAGAUUAAAUUGAAAAAAAUAUAAAAAUUAAAAACUAAAUGUAUCAUUAUCCCAAAUAAUUAAACUUGUAAAUUUGACAAAUUGUGUGCUUUUUCUUUUAAUAAUUUGUGUAUUUUUUGUCAUAGUAUAUUAUAUAUUUACAUAAAAUUUAAUACAUUAAAAAAAUAUAGUAAAUAUAUUUUAAAAAAACUAUAGUAAAUAAAUUUUAAAUAUAUUCAUGUAAUUUUUUGAUGGAAUUAUUCUACAUUUAAUAUUCUCUUUAUCUAAUUAUUUAAUUUUUUUUUAUCAUACCUCGCCAUGUUAAAAUCUAAUUAUUUAAAUAUAAAUUUAAAUAAAAAUUUGAUGGCAUUAUUCAUGUUAUUUUAAAUCUAUUAUUUAAUUUUGAAGCAUAUAUUCAUGUCAUCCAUGCCUUCACGGGUGGUGUUUGGCAUCUUAGGGGAAAUAAAAUUAAAUUAUUUUUUUAAAAGUGAAAAAAUUGGUUAAGAUUCAAUUCAUAUUGCUAUCAUUUGCUCAUGAUUUCUUGCCUGUAAGAUUAAUUUAAAAUAUAUAAAAAACCUUUUUUUUGGAUAAUUAAGAUUUAAGAUGUAAUAUUUAUUAAUAUUUAAUGUUGAAAAUUAUUUUGCUUAAUAGUUGGGUUAUGCUACUCACUAAAAGUGAUUAUUUAUAUAUGAUAAGAGUCAAUAGCAAAUGCAGAUGCAAUAUCUUCAAGGGGUUCCUUAAUAAUUAGAGCUUAAUAGUGUUUUUUUUUUCGAAUUUUGAGAUAAAUAGGUGAAAUUUAUAAAAUAUAAAAAAAAAUUAUUUCUAAUUGUGUAAUCUGAAAUUACGAGUAAAUAAAUUUAAUAGAAUUUGCAAAAUAGGACAAGGAAGAUUAGCUUAUUCAAAAUAGGUUAAUAAAUCAUUUUAUACUUGAGUUUGGCUUCAAUGUUCAAUUUGGUGUCCACGCUAAAUGAUAUUACAUGACCUAGUGAAUAUUUGACACAUAAGGUCUAGUAAAAAAAACAUAGAUACUGCUAAUUGAGUCUUAGCUCGAUUGGCAUGAGCAUUGUUGCCAAUGCAGAAGGACAUGAGUUUGAGUGUACUGAAGCACAUUAUCCUCCUAUUUAUGGGUUGGAAAGGGGAUAUGGGUAGUUCUAGGCAUUGUUUGGAAAAGAGCAUAUAUGAUCAGAACCUAUAAUGAAAUUAUUCAAAAAAAAAACAUAGAUACUUAAUUGAGAUAAACAAUACAAUUAAAAAACUUUAAAUACUAAAUUAAACAUUAAAAAUAAAAUCAUGUACCAAGUAGUAUAUUAACCCGAAAUUUAUACCUUCCGAAAUGAGUUAGGAUAUUGUUGGCUUUUAUUAGAUGAUUGUUUAGGAAUUUGUGUAUUUAUAUUAGAUUCAAAUAUUUUGUAUUAUAUUAUAAUUUUAUAUUUACUAGUAUGGCUUCAACUAGACCUGUCCAUGGGCCGGGCCGAGCCCAAAAAAAUUUUUGGCCCACCUCCUAGGCCCGGGCCCGACCUGGCCCAAAAUAUGGGGCUGAAAUUUUGCCCAGGCCCGGCCCGAGAAAAUAUCAUAAGCCCGAGCCCGGCCCGGCCCAUUUUUUUAAUAAAAAUUAAAAAUUUAUUUUAAAAAUAAAAAUAUUUUAAAAGUAUUUUAAAAUUAAAAAAUAAAUGUUGACACCAUUUUUUGGAUGGAAAACGGGGUCGACUUGGGUUUUGAAAAAUGAAACGGGAGUCGCCAUCGAUCCUUUUUUAUGAGGUGUGAUUGGAUCACCUCGAAAAGUGGUUGUUUUUAAUAAACGGUUUGAUUUUAUUAAAACAACAAGUUUGGUCCACGAAAUUAAAAAAACGGGUUCGGGAGUCGGUUACGCACGAGGAAGGAUUAGCACCCUCGAUACGCCCAAAAUUGGUACCUAGUUGAUUACUUAAUGUCUUAAUGUCGAAAAUUGAGAACNNNNNNNNNNNNNNNNNNNNNNNNNNNNNNNNNNNNNNNNNNNNNNNNNNNNNNNNNNNNNNNNNNNNNNNNNNNNNNNNNNNNNNNNNNNNNNNNNNNNNNNNNNNNNNNNNNNNNNNNNNNNNNNNNNNNNNNNNNNNNNNNNNNNNNNAUUUAAAAGAUAUUUAAUUAUCUUGGAUUUAAAAAGGGAUCACGACCAGUAAGUUAGGACACAAUCCUUUUUUAAUUCCCGAUAUUGUUUAAAACUUGAGUUUGAAAAAAAAAUUCGUGUAAUAAAGUUUAAAAGAAUAUUCAAUUGUUUAAAUCAAAUGAAGAAAUCGCAACCCAAUACGUUAGGGCACAAUUUAUCAAAAUAUUAAACACUGAAUAUUACAUUUAUUUCGAAAAAUCCUCGUUUCGAGAAAACAACAUGUCACAUCCAAUGCGUUAGGACACAACGUAUUGAAAUCUUGAUAACGAGCUUGUUAUCAUUUUUAAAGAGUAAUCUCGAUUAUUUAAGUUCAACGAAGAAAGUCGGAACCAAAUACGUUAGGGCUCGAUUCUCUCGAAGAUCCAAAAUACCGAAUAUUACUUAUAUUUUUUAAAAUUUCUUUUUUGAAAUCUAAAUAGAAAUGGGCGUAAUGGAAUGAUGAUGGUGUAAGCAAAAUAAUCACGAGGAAAACUGUUGAGAAUAAUUCAAAAUAAUAUUGGUGGGAUGUUUAGAAAAUCUUGGUAGUAUCUUGGUAGUUUCAGAUUUUCUAGUUUGACUAAAUAAUUUGUUAGCUAUUUUUAUCUUAAGUUAGUUUUCAUGUAAGCCUAUAAAUAUAGGCAUUUAUUCUUUGUUUUUUACUCAUUCAGAAUUCAUUAAUAAGAGAGCAACUUUCCUACAUAUUAUUCUAUCUUUCUCACGUUUUAUUCUCCAACAAAAACAAAAUAUAAGUAAAUAAGAAAUCAUAUAUAUAUAAAUAAAAUCAAUCACGUAUGUACAAUAAUAAACCAAUAUAAAGCAUAACAAAUAAUAAUAAUGGACAUGUAAAUAAAUAAAAGAUAUACACAUAUGAAUUAUAAAAUAUAAAAAUAUAAGUAUUUACAUAUAUAUAUAUAAAUAGGUUAUAAAAUACAAAAAUAUAUAAAAUAUAAGUAUGUACAUUAUAAAAAGUGUGUAUGUACGAGCAGGUAUGUAUUUUAAAAUAUAGGUGUAUAUAUACAUAUUUUGGAAAUUAUAAAUAUAAACGAUACUUGUAUGUAUGUAUAUGUAUAUAGGAAAAUAAAAAAAGGUAUAUAGAUAUAUAUAGACAUGUAUUAAAAAUAAAAAUGUGUUUGUAUGUAAAAUAUAUGUACAAGCAUAAUGCAUAUAUAUAGAUAUACAUAUAUAUAUAGAAUAAAAAUAAACCUAAAAAAAAAAACUAUUCAAUAUAUUAACGAAUAAAUAAAAUGGCAAAUAAAACUAAUAAUGAUGAUAAUAACAUUUAAAACAGUAAUGAUAUAUCAUAAUGAUAAUAAUAAAUAUUAAAACAACCAAUUUAAUAAUAAAUGACUAAAAUCCCACAUAGAGGAUUAAAUUGAAACUUAAACAAAAUGCCAAGGCCGAAACCAAAAUAAAGAAAAUAAAAGAAAUACAGACAAAGGGGCAAAUCAAAACGAGCAUGAAAAAAUAGGGGCUAAACUGGAAAUAAUCCCCUGUCGAUUAAACGACGACGUUCUAACGAAGUCCAAGCACAAGGUUCACGAACCAAAUCGAAAGAAAAAUAGAAAUCUGGGGCAAAAUUAAAACAAAUAAUAAAAGUGGAUAGGACCCAAUUGUAAACAGCCUCAAAAGCGGAAGGACUGAGGGCGCAAUUAACCCUUUUGUCCAAAAACACGCGGAUCCUAGGUGGUUUGGGUCGAGUCAAAACGACGUCGUUUUGGGGCUUAAGGACGCCGACCAAAACGGCGUCGUUUUAAAGGCCUAUAAAAGGCAAAUUUCUUUCAAAAAAAAAUCAUUCCUUCAUUCUCACACAAAAAAAAACUGAUAUGCUCUCCCUCUCUUCGGCCAAGGGUCCGGCCAAACGCCGCCGCACCGGUUACCGACCGCCAGCACCGGCGCCGCCGUAAACGGCGGUGGGGGUCCAAAAUUUCCCCCUUUUUACCCCGCUUUUAGAUCUCGACUUCCUAAACAAGGAUCCGGUCUCAAAACAACCAAAAACGAAGGAAAAGGCCCUCAACGCUCCCCUAUAGCCGACUCUGUCACCGGAGAAAGAGCCUCCGACGAUGAGAAUACGAUCGGCCCGGUGAGUUCCCUUUUCUCUUUUCUUCUUUUUUAUUUAAUAUGUAUCAGAAAUGAAAAAAAAUGAAUAAAAACUAAAACAAAAAUCAAAGCCAAAGUCAAAAUCAACCUUUUGAUAAUCUGUUUUUUUUUUAUUUGAUGUUUUCCUCCCCUUUUACAUUUCGGUUUGAAUGGCUUAUAUAGCCAUUUACAACUUUUUUUUCUUUUUAUUUUUACUCUAUUUUUGCUUCUUAAUGUUGCGUGUUGCAGGUGAGUAGUUUGGAGCAGGUGAGCGGUGAUGGGGCGUGCGCGGCGGCCAACAGAACGGCAGUGGCAGGGCAAGUAGGGUGCGGCAGCACUAGGGUUUCAGAAAAGCUGAAACCCUAGUUUGACCCUUAGUAUUUGGGCUUGGGUCUUGGUUUGGGCUGAAGGGUAUUGGGUUAGUUGGGCUGGUGGGUUAGUUUAAUUGGUUUAGUUUUUUUUGUUUUUGUAAUUGGGCCCGGGCAAAUGGGCUUGUACAAUAAAAAUAAAAAAUAUAUAUUUAUUAUAUUCGGGCCGGGCAGGGCCGGGCAGGGCCGGGCCCGGGCCAAAAAAGUGGUGCCCAAGGCCCGACCCGUUUUUUAAACGGGCCUCGUUUUUUUGCCCAAGCCCAUAUUUCGGGCCUAUAUUUUUACCCGAACCCUCCCAUAUUUCGGGCGGGCCGUCGGGCAGGGCCGGGCCGCCCGGCCUGUGGACAGGUCUAGCUUCAACUAGAUCUAUUAAUGGAUUGAACUAUCCACUUAGGCUCGAAGGUCCGGUCGAAAUUCGAAAGAGUUUGGUAAAAAAUAUUAAGCUUGAAAAUUGAGAUUAGGCAAAAAAAAAUUAAGCGUAUUUAAAAUGAAGGCUGGACUCAAGCUUAAAACAUUAGUGAAUUUAUAUUUCACGUUAAUUUUUCAUAUCCCAUUGUAUGUUAAUUAAAUUUAUCUAAUAUUAUCAUGUACGUAAUAAUAAGUGUUAGGUAUAGAGGUAAGAUACAUUACACUCUUGAAGAGAAAUACAAAUUUGAAUUUUAAAAACAACAUUUUUUAAGAAAACUGUCAUGAACCUCGACAUAACCCAUAAAACAAACAUCUAAAACUAAAAAAUGAAAUAAUGCCCAUGAUUUUCAGUCCUGUCGACUUGUAUGAGGUUAAUAUAAUUUGUGUUCUUCAAGUGAUUUGAAAUAUAAGUACAUUACAAAAUAAAUAUGUUGAGUAAUAUUUUCUUGUAUCUUAUUGAUAGGAGUGUUCGGGUAUUUAUACAUGUUGUUAUAGAUGCUAUUACAACUCAUGAUAGGACCCCAUUAUUUUGUCUUAACUCCAUUGCCUCUAGUACUGACAUUCUUUGUGAACUCCAAGUUAGUUGGGUAUGUGUUUCCGGAGCACGCGGUCCUUUCUGUUCUUGAGACUAGCAUUCUGGGUGGGCUCUGUGCCUAUUGGACAAGUGUUUGGAUGGCCUGCGGAGCAUGCGGUCCUAUUUGCGAGCUCCUUGGGUGUAAGCGAGCUAAGACUGAGACCUUUCCUAGGUUCCUGCAAGCUGGGUCCUUGGCUUUGCCUCGCGAGCUGAUUCCACGAACUAGCUUUCCUAUCCUCUUGUGGUUCACCUUACACUCAAUCUUCUAGUGGGACCUAUUCAGGUUACGGGUUAGAAACCUGGAUCCUUUCUAGUACUCGUGUCGAUGAUUACUGAUAUAUAACAAAAUAUAUGUUCGAACAGAUUAAAAACAUUAUAAUCUAGACUAAAAUUAACGAAAUAAACUAAAAUUCACAUAUAACAAUAGUAUAUGAUAGGAUUUGAAGACCCAUGCAUAUAAUUGCAUAUAGUGGGUAUUAAACUUGAGUACUCAAGAUUGAGGGUUUUUGCCUUUGUCAACAACCAAUUGUCGAAAUAUGAAUUUUUUAACUUACUCAAAUUCUAUUUAUAUUUAUAAAUGACUAAUCUAAAUCUAUUUUAAACUGCCGAUCUUUUAAAAAAUAAAAUCAAUUUAUGUUGUUUUUUUUAUUACUAUUUUAUAUUUUUAUAUUUUUUCUUUUAUUAAAAAUUUAAGCAUAAACAAUUUAACAUAUUUGUAAGGUUUACGUUAUAGUAUUAUAUGUUAUUAUACAUUUAAUUUUGAAGUGAAAUAAUUUACAUAAUAUAUAAUAAAAUAUUAUUAAAAAUUGCUAGAAUUUAUCAAAAUUGAUUUCAUAUUUUAAAUAAAUUUAAUAAACUCAUUUUUUAAAUUUAAUAUUUUUAUUCAGUGCUCUCAAAGAAUUAAUGGGCAAUUAAUUAGAUUUUUGAACCUUACUAGACUCAAGAAAUUUCUAUGAUAUUUGUUUUCCUUGAAUAAAUUUGUUGCGGUGGGAGAAAAAGGAAUGCAAAUUUGUUGAGUUUUUAUUUAUUUAUUUAUAAUUAAUAAGCAUUAAAUAUUAGACAUACCAACCUCUCAACUCUCAAAUUCAAAUUAAAAUAUCUAUUUAUUUUUUUAAAACGAUCUUAUUAUAAGUUUUGAUCACAUUUGUUCAUUUUUUGACACAAUACUUAGAAUUACCCACUCAUAAAUAAGAGGAUAAUGCAUUUCAACACACUCAAACUUAUGCCCUGCUUUAUACCAAUCGAACUAAGAACUGACCAAAUAUGUAUCCAUUCUUAAAUCAAAAUCAAUAGUAAUUAUUUAAAAUUGGGAUGUUCUUGAUCAAAUAAGUGGGUUGUUGCCUAAUAACUAGUCAAUUUGAAGACAACUUCUGAAACAAUACAAAAACCAAUUUGAGUGGUUUCUUUUAUUAUAAAUAUUUUAUUUAUAUGUACGAACAAAAUAUUAAACAUAUUGUUAGUGUAGUUUUUGGAUAUAAAGGAGAGAUGUGAUAGCUUUGAUCUCACUCCUCACAGUAUAAAUAUUUCGAACAAAAAAGAAGAAGAACUUUUAAAUAUUGUUUUAAGAAAAUGGUCAAAUUCUCCUAUUAGUCCUUAUAUUAUGCAUAAGUAAUGGAUUUAGGCUCUAUACUUUAAUUUGGUCAAUUUUAAUUUCUAUAUUUUUCGAAUUAAUCGAUUUUAGUCCCUAUACUUUCGGAUUUUCAAAUUUUAGUCUCGACCCAAAUGCUAGCGAUUAAAUCUCUAUUAAAUUCUGCUAUUAGUCGUGUACUAAAUGUAAAGGUAUAGAUUUAGUCAGUAUUCUUCAAUUUGAUAAUUCUUAGUCCCUAUACUUUUCAAAUUUUAAAACUUCAGUCUUAUGCAAACGCUAGUUUUUAAAUCACUGACUAGGUUUUUUUUUUACGAGAAAAUGUGAAAAUAGUAAGUUGAAAUGACAUUAUAUGUAUGAUAAUGCGUUUCUCGCAUCAAAUUUUGAAAAUAACAAAACUUAGUGAAUGUAACAACUAUCGUUUGCUCAGGACUAAAAUUUUAAAAUUUGAAAAGUAUAAGAAAUAAAAAUAACCAAAUUAAAGUGCAUGGACUAAAUAUACGACUUACACAUAAAGACUAAUAAAAAAAAAUUGAAAAUCGACUUAACCAAGUCUAAUGAAAAAUGAUUGAUAACUGGUUUAUUAUGAUAUCAUAACCAAAAUAACCGAAUUGACUUAGUUUGGUUGGCUCCAAUGACUAUCUUAGUUAAUUAAUUUAGUGAGAAGGGUUAUUGAAUUGAGGUUAAAUAUAUAAAUAAAUAAAUAUUUAUUUUUUUUAUAAUUAAAUCUCCAUUAAAAAAAUAUACUUUUAUAAUUAAAUUUAAAUGUGAUCCGUUGAUUGAGUUUUAAUUCGAUUGAUAUAGGCUUUGUUGCCAGUACAAGAGGACGUGAGUUCAAAUGCGCUUCAGCGCAUUAUCCUCCUAUUUAAGUGUUGGGGAGAGACUAUGAAUAGUUCUAGAACUUAUGGCAAUAAUACUCAUGUCAAUCGAAUUAAGACUCAAUCAGUAAAAAUAUAUAAAAGUUGAAAACUCAUGGUUUUAAUUAUAUAAGUGGAACUCAUAGGUAUAAAAUUGGGGGAUCUUGGAUAUAUGUAGCUUUAACUAUACAAAAAAAAAAUGGCAUAUCAUUUCAACCUUGACUAAGGUAAAGAAUGAAGAUUAUUCAAAGUUAUCAUGAAAAUAGAUAAAUAAAUAAACAACUAUAAACAAUGGGCUUUGCCCAUUUUCAUUUGGGAUGGUAAAGAAUGAAUGAGUAAUUUUGAAUUUUAUCUCCUUACUUUACAUAUAUAUAUUUUAAUUUGUUAGACUUUAAUUCUACAAAAAUAUUAAAAUCUUAAUCCAGUUGUCGAUAAGACACAUAAAUUUGAACUGUUAAUUUUUACUAAUUUAUAACGAUUGAAUCUUAACUCGAUUAACAUGAAAAAAAAUAUCUAGCCCUAUUGAUUAAAAAGAAUGAAAAAUUUAAGGAUGGAUUUUAUUCAUCAAAUUUCAAAAUAUAACAGAGAGAAUGAUGUUCUAAAUAUUGUUUUGUUUAAUAUAUAAAAAUUCACUACAAUAUUUUUGUAGCAUAACAAAAAAAAAUUUAACGUUGUUAGGGUUUUGCGUAAUAUAUAUAACAUUUAAUAAAUUUAAGUAUCAAAUUGAACCUAAAAAAAAGCUUAGGUACCAAAUUAGGAAAAAAAGUCAAGUUUAGGUAUUAAAUUGAGAAAAAAAGUUUAGGUACCAAAUUCAGAAACUAAAUGUUAUAUUAAGCCAAUUUCAAAAUAUAACUUGGAGAAUGAUGUUCUAAAUAUUUUUGUUUAUAUUAUAAAUUAGUUAAUUAAGUAUGAUUAAUUGUUGUAUUUGUAUGAAUAAACUUAAUUAAGAUUUAAAUUUAAAAAAAAUGGUUGUAUUUAAAUAAAUCCAAACUACUGAUUACAAGUUGACUUGAUUAUAGAUUUUAUAAAAUAAUAACAUAUAGGGAGGAGAUAAGGUGGAAAAAUAUUAAUUUUUUCACAUGGGCGGUUGCCUUAUUGAUAUUGAAAAGAAUCUCUAGCAACUCACAAUUUGAAAUUAUAAAUUUUAAAAUCUAUAAAUAUGUUACAUAUAUAUAUUUAUAUCAUGUUAAUUAUUUUUUAAAUAUAUUUUAAGAGGAUAUGUUUUUUUUUGGUCUCUAAUUUUCGUAUUAAAUAUAAAAACAUUCUGUAUGAGAUGAUUUCUUCAUAUAUAUAUUCGUAUAUUAAUUUCAAAUACAUAAUAAAUUAAAAUAUAAAAAUUCCUAAAUUAUAAUUUUAACUAUACCUACCUGAUGACUAUAUACAUAGUACCUUUUUUUCUCCAUUGUCAGCAAGUUGAUCGCUCAAAUAUUAUAUUUCUAGAAUUUAAAUUAUAUUUAAAUUUUUUAUCGUAGGUUGAGUUUUAGUUCGACUAACAUAAGUAUUAUUGUCCAUAAGGAUAAGGAGGACGUGAGUUUGAAUGCGCUGAAACAUAUUGUUCUUUCAUUUAUGGGUUGGGAAAGGAUUUUGAAUAGUUUUAGUCAUUGUGUAAAAAGGAACAGAUAUGACCAGAACGAGAGCAAGGAAGAAAACUUAAAAAAUAAACAUUCAUGUUUAAAGCUUUUAUGGAGCACUAAAAUAUAUAAUGGCAAAGAGAUGAUGGGGUGAUAGACAAGAACAUGAUCAUGCUUUAUCGACCAUCUCUUUCUUACGUAAAAAUCCUUCAUAAGCACAAAAAAGGGUUGUCUGAAAAUCAUUCUGUAAACAAUGACAAAUCCUAAACCCUUGCCUUUUCUUUGUUUCUUUUAGCAUAAUCCCAUAAAGUUAAAAAUAAAAAGCUGUUCAGUUUAUUCAACUUUGAGUCCAUUUGGAAAUUAGUUUUUUCAUUUCUUUAAUAAAACCCCAUUUCAUAUCUUCACUCAAAGUUGGAGCCUUUCUGAGUUUUUCCUUGUGUGAAUAUUUUCUGGGAAAUGAACUCUAUAGAGGUAUGCCAAGCUCUGUUCUUUUUGUUUUAUUUGCAGUGUACUGUUUAAUUUAUGCAUUUCAUUCUAUUCAACUUUUACAAUUUAAUCCAUAUGUAUUGAUAUAUUGAUAGUUGAAAACAUUCCUUUUUAACUUCAGGUUUGUGGGAUUUGAUUUUAUAUACUGAUUUCAGCUUGAAAAUAUUCAUGUGAAUGAGACCUUUGGAUAUGGGGAAAUCAUCAAUAUGGAGACGGUUGUUCAUUGUUUUUGUACUUAUUCAUGUCCUUUUAGUUCAUCAAUCCAAAGGGCUUAACUCAGAGGGUCAAUACCUGCUUGAAAUCAAGAGAAAUCUUGUUGACAAGUUCCAUCAUUUAAGCAAUUGGAACCCUAAUGAUCCAACUCCAUGUGGAUGGAAUGGUGUAAGUUGCUCCCCCAUUGAUUAUUAUUCUUACGACCUUGUAGUUCAGUCUCUUAACUUGAGUUCAAUGAACCUGUCUGGUUCUUUGUCUCCUAGCAUUGGUGGAUUGGUUCAGUUGACUGUCCUUGAUCUUUCUCACAAUGGGUUGUCCAAUAACAUCCCAAAAGAGGUUGGGAAUUGUUCAAAUUUGGAGAUUCUUAAUCUCAAUGACAAUGAAUUUGAAGCUCAAAUUCCCAAAGAAAUAGGCACCCUUUCAUAUUUAACAACUCUAAAGAUAUACAAUAAUAGAUUCUCAGGGCCUUUCCCUGAUGAGAUUGGGAACCUUUCUUCUUUGACACAAUUGCUUGCAUAUAGCAACGAUAUCAAUGGAUCAUUGCCGAGUUCUUUUUGCAACCUUAAGAGCCUAAAGAGUUUUCGAGCCGGUCAGAACCGGUUGACGGGGAGUUUACCUUCGAAUAUAGGUUCAUGUGAGAGUUUGCAGUACCUUGGUCUUGCACAAAAUGAAUUAACCGGCUCGAUUCCGGCGGAGAUCGGGAUGCUUACGAGUUUGAGAGAGUUGAUCCUUUGGGAUAAUCAACUCUCUGGUUCGAUUCCGGGAGAGAUUGGCAAUUGCACGAAUUUGAGUACUCUUGCUUUGUAUGAGAACAAGCUUGUUGGAAGUGUCCCCAAGGAGCUUGGGAACCUUAUAAAUCUCAAGCACUUGUUUCUUUACAGAAAUGAGUUGAAUGGAACGAUCCCGAGGGAGAUUGGGAACCUUUCAUUUGCCGAACAGAUCGAUUUCUCGGAGAAUUUGUUGACCGGAGAAAUACCAGUUGAGUUUGGCAACAUAAAAGGGUUGAAUUUGCUUUAUCUUUUCGAAAACCAGCUUACUGGUGUUAUCCCUGUUGAGCUUACCAGUUUGAAGAACUUGUCAAAGCUUGAUCUUUCCAUAAAUAAUCUCACUGGUCGGAUUCCGGUCGGGUUUCAGUAUUUGGAAGAACUGGUCAUGUUUCAGCUCUUUGACAAUUCACUCACCGGUACCAUUCCUCGGAAACUUGGGGCUUAUAGCCUGCUUUGGGUUGUUGAUUUAUCCAACAAUCAAUUAACAGGAAGGAUCCCUCGACAUCUUUGUCAUAACUUGAACCUGAUGUUUCUCAACCUUGGGACAAACAAGCUCACCGGGAAUAUCCCAUCCGGUGUUACAAACUGCUUACCAUUAGUUCAACUUCUUUUAACCGGAAACAGCCUUACAGGGAGUCUUCCGUUAAAUCUUUGCAAGUUGGUUAAUCUGUCUGCGAUCGAGCUAGGCCAGAACAACUUCAGAGGACCGAUUCAGGCGGAGAUCGGGAACUGCAAAGCUUUGCAAAGGCUACACCUUCAUUAUAACUACUUUACAUCAGAGUUGCCAAGAGAGAUCGGUAAUCUGUCUCAAUUGGCGAGCUUUAACAUCUCAUCUAACUCAUUCAUAGGAAGGAUACCACCAGAACUGUUUAACUGCAAAAUGCUUCAACGGCUCGAUCUCAGCAGGAACAGAUUUACGGGGAAUUUACCUGGUGAGAUUGGAGCACUAUCUCAGUUGGAGCUUCUCAAGCUUUCAGACAAUGAUCUGUCCGGGAUAAUACCUCCCGAGCUCGGAAAUCUUAUUCGUUUGACAGAGUUACAAAUGGGGGGCAACUCAUUCAGUGGCAAUAUACCAGCUGCUUUAGGUUCCCUCUCUGGCUUGCAAAUUGCAUUGAAUCUCAGCUACAACAAUCUCUCUGGAGUAAUCCCUCAAGAGCUCGGCAAUCUCGUUUUAUUGGAAUACCUUAUGCUUAAUAACAACCAUUUGAGUGGCGAAAUUCCAGGUUCUUUUGCUAACCUACCAAGCUUAUUCGGAUACAACUUUUCAUAUAAUGACUUAACAGGGCCUAUACCAUCACUACCGCGCCUCAACAACAUGGCUAUCAGCAGCUUUAUCGAGAACAGAGGUCUCUGUGGAGGUCCUCUUGGUGGUUGCAAUCCACCAUUAUCUUCAUCCCCUCCUGUGCCAGAUACGAAAGAUAAACAAAUCCGGUUAGGUAAACUUGUUGCUAUAAUUGCAGCAACUAUCGGUGGAGUUUCUCUCGUUUUAAUAGCAGUCAUUAUAUAUUUCAUGAGAAGGCCAGUUAGAACGGUUGCUACUUUGCAAGAAAAGCCACCAACUACUCAAGUUUCGGACAUUUACUUCUCCCCAAAGGAAGGAUUCACAUUCCGGGACUUGGUUGCAGCGACCGAAAAUUUCAACGAGAGCUUUGUUGUUGGUAGGGGAGCUUGUGGAACUGUAUAUAAAGCUGUCUUGCCAAGUGGUCAAGCCGUUGCUGUUAAGAAGCUUGCCUCACAACGGGAAGGCAAUAAUAACGUUGACAACAGCUUCCGAGCUGAAAUUCUAACAUUGGGGAAUAUCCGGCACCGGAACAUCGUGAAGCUUUAUGGUUUCUGCUAUCACCAAGGUUCGAAUCUCCUUCUUUAUGAAUACAUGUCAAGAGGUAGCUUGGGGGAGCUGCUUUAUGGUACAUCCUGCCAUCUUGAUUGGAGAACAAGGUUCUUGAUCGCAUUGGGAGCUGCUCAAGGCCUUGCUUAUCUGCAUCAUGAUUGCAAGCCUCGGAUUUUUCACCGUGAUAUAAAAUCGAAUAACAUAUUGCUCAACGAAAAGUUCGAAGCUCGCGUCGGUGAUUUCGGAUUAGCCAAAGUCAUGGAUAUGCCACAAACCAAGUCAAUGUCUGCAAUUGCAGGUUCUUAUGGCUACAUUGCUCCAGGUAAUUAAAAUUUUACUCCAUGAAAAUGUUUCAAACAUUAAGCUUUUGUGUGCUUUUAGCUAAUGAGCCAUGAUCAUUUAAACCGCAGAAUAUGCAUACACAAUGAAAGUGACCGAAAAAUGCGACAUCUAUAGCUACGGAGUUGUCCUAUUGGAGUUACUAACAGGCAGAACACCAGUUCAACCACUAGAUCAAGGCGGUGACCUCGUAACAUGGGUGAGACAUUACAUCCGAGAUCACUCGCUAUCACCUGGAAUGCUCGAUUCUCGGUUGAAUCAACGAGAUGAGAGAACCGUCUGUCAUAUGUUAACAGUCAUGAAAAUUGCUUUAAUAUGCACAAGCAUGUCACCUUCUGAUAGACCAACCAUGCGGGAAGUCGUUCUGAUGCUUAUCGAGUCGAACCAACGCGGAAGCCGGUUCGAUAUCUCCUCGAGUCAUGACACUGACCGAAUCGAAUGAAAUCUAUAUUCUAGUAUGCAAAUAAUUUUGAUUAAACCAUGAUCAUUUUUUUUACAAAAUUUACACAGUGAAAAAAUAUAUGCUAAUUUGUCAACUUUCAUAUAAUAAUUAAUAAUAUAUGGUUGCAACAUGUUCUUGAUAAUAUUAGUUUGAUUUAAUCACAAAUUUAAUUGCUUUACAUAAUAAUUAACUCACUUGUAAAAAUAGAGAAAUCCUUGUGAUUUUAAUGGAAUAUUUUUUCGGUAAAAGUAUUAUGGAGGUCCCUAUAUUAGAAACUGGAUUGCAUUUUGCCCCACCACUCAAAUGUACAAGGAAAAACGCAUUUUUUCGGUAGAGGGAUUAAUUUACAGGGACUAAUCUAAUGUAUAGAGAUUAAUUUACCCAUUUUUCGGUAGAGGGAAAAAAAGACAAUCUCACCCUUAAAAUAAAAUAAAAGUUGGACUAUAAGUAAAAUUUUCUAUAUGGUCAGAUUAUUACUCUAUUUAUUUUAUUAAAUCUAAUCUAAUCUAAUCUAAUGUAAUCUAAUCUAAUCUUAAUCUAUUCCAUAUAUAGAAAGAGUUCCUUUUUCACUAAAACUGUUUUAUAUCACAUUUAUAAUUAAAACUCGCCGCCCAAUCUCCAUUAACACACAAAAUUAAAGCUUUCAUCUUUCUUAUUUCUUCUUCAAAGUUCAACCAUGUUUACAUUGAACCUAAACAAGAAGGUAAAUUUUAUAGUCUGACAAAUUUUUUCUCUCUUACUUCAUGCACAAGAAACCAAUAUUCUUUUGAGUUUUUUUUUUUUUCAUUUUUUUAUAGGUGGAGAAGGAGAAAAAGGAAAUCGAGCACAAAAACAAAAUGCCUCAGUUAGAUUCAACCCAAAAAAUAAGGAGAAUACAAGACCCAAAUUUCGUUAAAAAAAAUUAUAUUUUACAAAUGCACAUCCAUUAUGCAGAAGAGAUUGACCCAUCGAGCGUGUACUCGGAAGUUCAUUGGAGGAAUUAUCGAGUGGUGUUUUGGGUUAACCCUUCAGAUCAGUACGAGACUGGUGCAAGUAGAGGGUAUCCGAUAUUUAUAUGGGAACAACUAUUUAAUAUCCCAUUGAUCAAUGUUGUUAUAUCGGAACAUAAGUUUUUGAGUCUGGAAGUUAUGCGGAUCGGCGGGAAUCCAGGGCCGUCAAGAGGCUACAUCGUGGUGGGGAGAGCAAAGGUAGCUUUGCCGAAAGUGCUGGGGAUUAAAGAGUGCCAACGAGUUGGAUUGGUGAGGUUUGUUGAUGGGCAAACCGUGGGUGAAGGGCAUAUAAUAAUUUCUCUGACUUUGAUACAGGUAAAUUUCCAUUGGCGUGAUAUGUUAUUUCAUUAGAGAGAAUUCAACAACUCGGGAUUAAUUACUAUUAGUGACGAGGGAAUUAAUUAUUGUUGUUAAUGAUGAUACUUUAGUUUUGAGAAAAAGUCACCUUUUAUGUUUCUGUUUUAAAAUAUUACAUAAAAAAUUAUUUAUCUAUAAAUAGAUUAUUUGUAUGUUAACUCAAUGUUGGUUCAAAAUUUGCAUAAUGAUGAAUUAAGAAAAGAAAAUAUUAGCUUAUUUAGUCAAUAAGUUCUUGGUUUGGGGUUGAGUUCCUUUCUCAAUUAAUCCCCACUCUUGAAGUAAUUUUUAUAAAAUAAUUAUUCCACACAUGUAGGUAAUUUUAAAAUUUUCAUAAAUUUAAAUUAUAAAAUAUUGUAUUUUCACCUAGCCUUAAAAUUGCACCGCAAACAUUCAUCGAAUUUAACGGCAAAAUGUUGAGGGCGGUGGCGACAAUCCUAAUAUGCACUUAGAAUUAAAUGGUCACUAUCUCCAUCUUUAUUAAAAUCCACGGCCUUGCUCAUUUUCGCGAGCAAUCCUCCAAUAUGAAGUGAACUUUCUAGGAAAGUAAGAUGAAGCUCGGAGAAGCAAAGCAUGAUUGACUCGGGAAGAACUAAAAACCUAGAUUGUGAGCAAUCCUCACCCCACAUACACCAGCAACCAUCAAACCACCAAUCGAAAAAAGCAAAUAAAAACAAAAAAGCCUCUAUAAUGGAUGAAGGAUGGAAAAAAAUCAAGCAAAAGACAUAGAGUUAGAUGCAAAGCAAAAAUUAGAGAAAGAACAAAAAAGGAAAAAAAGCAUAGAGAAAAACUUGUCUUUUAGAGCUUAUUGGUUAUUUGGGCAUCGAAGCUCCGUUCAAUAAUCUGAAUGGUGAAGGUAGAGAAGGGGUUGAAGAGAACAACAUAUCUCGAGGUCGCGAUGUUCCACCUGUGGACGUCGGUGGAUUGAAGUUUUCAGCUUAGAACUUUGGCUUGAGGUUUUGUAGGUUUUGGUUGCUUUUUAGGAAAAUCUAAACCGAAAGAUAGAUUGAGGGUGUGAAGACUUAUCAUUGGAUAGUGGUUUUGUGUUCAUCGUAGCAUUGGUGGUGGAGCUCUUUGAUUGGCGACAACUAGGGUUAGAAGAAAAAGGAGAAGAAUCAGGAAAGAGAAAAGAAAAUCAAAAUUUAAAAGAAAAACACGUGUUAGAUUUUUGUUUGAAAUUUUAACAGAAGUAACUAAAAUAAUUAAACUAUGUAAUGUCCUAGAUUACUUAUUUAUUUAUUUUUAUUUUGAGCGCUUAAAAUAUAAUAUUAAUAGCAAUAUUUUAAUUUUUAAAAAUAAAUAUUUAUUAUUUAAUUCAAAUUAAUUUACUAUUAAUUAAUAAAAAUAUUAAAAAUAUAGAUUCCUUGUACGUAAUUGAGCGUUAUAUCCAAGCUAGCAUGCUUAUCCCAUACAUCCAUAACUAUAUCCAUUCUAAUCAUGCGUGUCAAUUAGAUAAAGCUACCCUAAAUAGGAGAUGAGCCGCUUUCCUUAGUAGCAUCCCGGCUAAUCUAAAAAAAGGACAAGUGUUAAAAAAAAUACUUCAACAUAAUAACAAUCUUGAAUUACAAAACCAAAUUUGAUUCUAUAAUCAAUAAAGAUUUCAACGAAGAUAAAGCCUCUCGGAUCGCUAGGGCUUUUGCUAUACAUUGUCAUGUGACUGAAGCUCGUAUAACCAAGCCAAUCACAUACAAAACAAAAUAGUGUUAAAUGCUCAAAUUGUUACAUCAACGGAACUCAAACAUCAAGGCGAACCCGCACAUGCAUUUGGGCACGAAAUCCCUUAGUGACCGCAGCUACAUCAUAGUCCACAAAAUGGCCAAGAAAAUUCUCAAAUUGUUGCGGCACUGCUUCCGAAAAGAGACCAGUUGACAAAUCAUGAAUUUGCACAUGAAGUUGAUAUGAAGUUGACUCGUGACACUAACUCAAUCGACGACAAUAUUAAUAAGAUUAUGACACACCCACGAUGUGGGUGAAUAUAUUUAUAUAAUAUAUUUAUUAAGAAUUCACAUAAAAACUAAAUAUUACUUUACUUAAAAUGGUGAAGUCGGGAGAUUGAAUGUUUGGUGCUCUGGAUUCAAAUCCGAUUAUAAUUAUGAUUUUUUUUAUAUUUUAUAUAAAAAAACAAAAUAACUCUUAAAUUAAUAUUUCACUUUGUUAAAAUAAAGAUAUUUUAAUAAUUUAUUUUAGUUGAGACCCAAUUUUAUAAUAAUAUAAGUACAAUAUCGGUUUAGGUAUAAAUUCAAUGUUCAGAAUUUUCUACCAUUUUUUAAGUUGUAUUUUAUAAUUCUUGAUUCUACUUAUAGUUGAUUCGGAUAUGAAAUUUAAAAAAAAAUUAAAAAAAUUAUUGUAAAAAUUUAAAAAUAAGUACACUAAAAAAUUCAAUCAUGUAUUGAUUAUAAGAAUGUAUUAGAACAUACAUCAGAAUUUCAAAAUUUAAAGAAUUUUAAAUUAUUUUAGCCACCAUAAAUUUAGAUCUUUUUUCAAUUUAACUUGUAUUUUUAAUUAAAUUUGAAACUUUAAAAAUAAGUCAAAAUCAUUUUUUAUAGAGAAUAUGUUAAUUAAAAUAUUAAAAUUUUAACGAUGUCGGCGUUCCAACUCACGUGGCAGUUUAUGUACUUGAUGUUGACAUGACACAAGUUAACAAAUAAUUUAAAAAAUUAUAAAAUAUUUAAAAAAUUUUAAAUUUUUUAAAAAAGUCUUAAAAAUUAAAAAAAAAGCGCAUGAAAUACAUGUAGAUUAUCAUGCAUGCUGUCAUAUUUAAGAAUUUAACAUUUUAAUUAAUAUUUUUAUUAAAAUCCAAUAAUCUGACUAUUUUUAAAAAUUUAAUGAUUAAAUUCGAAUUUUUUUUAUGGAUUAAAGAGUAAAUUUAGCUAUAAAAAAAUAAGAAUUUCAGGUUCGGACAAGACAAAGCAAAGUAAGCAAAAAUGUACUAACGGUUGCUGGACAGACAACAUUAUCCUAAAAAUAAUAAAUAAAAAAAUCAGUUCCUCUAUUAAAAAUAAAAAAUUCACACCUCAUCCAUUUUUUCCCGAAACUCAAAAAUACCGUUUGUUCUUCAAGAAAAUCCCCUCAAAUGAAAGAAAAUCUCUUGUUAAACGCAAACCCCACAUCAAAUUCUUCACUCCAAUUCCUUUCUUUCCAUGGUAAGACAAAAGCCCAAAUUUCAUUUUUGAAAGCACCCUCUUCUCUUCCCUUUUCUUCAAGAUCCUCUUCUUCUUGUUUCGUCCCACUUUGUUCUUCCACUCCUUAUACUAGUUCAACUACAAAGGAGUUCAAUUUGGAGUCCAAUGGAUUGCCCCAAACCUCAAAAUCUAAUCUUGAUGGAGAAUCCAAUGAGAAUUACAAUGUGGGGAUUGGUCAUCCAAUCGUCCCAAAUUUUAUUCCAACUCAAAAGAUGAGUUUGAGUGAUCAAGCCUUCUAUCUGUUCACUUUUAUUGCUUGUACGGUAUGGUUUUAAGGCUUUUCAGGUUAUUGUGUGCUAUAUAUGUGUGUAUGUGGAAUUUUCAUGCUAUAUAUGUGCGUAUGUGUGAGAGAAUAUUUGAUUGAUAGUCUCAUUACUUGGAAGGUGUGCUAAAUAUGUUCUGUAAAGUGUAAACGGAUUGUUCUUUUAUGUUUUGAGAUUAUUUAGUGCUUAUUUUGAGGUUGUUUAAGGGCAGUUCUUGGUUUUGGGCAUGUUUUAUGUGAGUGCUUCUUAUUGCUUAAUGGAUAUUUUCAAAAUUUGAUAAGCAUCUCUUGUUUGCAUGUAGCUUAUAUAUAUAUAUAUAUAUAUGAAAUUGAUGUUUGAUAAUGUUGGAAUAGUAACUUGGUUAUAGUAUGCCGUUCCCACUAUUCAAUUUUUUCUUUAGAACCCUCCAAGUACACAUAAAAACUUGGAAAAAAUUGAACUUACUCGUGUUAGAAGCAUAUUCGUAUCCUACACUCAUGUUCGAGUCUUAGUAACAUAGGAUAGUCUAUACUUUUCUCAUGUAUCAUUUCUUUUUGCAUUUGUUGAUUAUAGUUUCAUUGUUAUAAUCAGUUUUUUGCACUUUGUUGGAUGCAUAUGGUAUUUGAACAAUUUGUUGGAUAAUUUUUAUUUUUUGCAGUUUUCUUUGGCUUGUUACUGCAAAUCAGAUAGAUUCUUUCUAUAGGCAGGCAGUGGUAGAAAUUCAAGUGUUUUGCAUUGGUAUUAAGUACUAUGUUUGGUGUUUCAAUUUUCUAUAUUUUCGGAUUGGUUGACACCAAUCACUUGGAUACAUGCAGGCUUCUUUGGCGUUUACAAGUCUGGUCAUUGCAGCUGUUCCUACACUGUUUGUAAGUGUUCUGACAUCAUAUUUGUAACUUUGUCGUAGUUUUGAUAUGCUAAUUAACAGUGAUGAGUUAGUUCAAGGUUGUUCAUGGGGAUUUUGGCGUAUGCCUACUAUACUUGAUAUUUUAAACUACCCCUUAUGUGAUAAUUAGGAAGUCUAUGUCAGCCUCAAUCAAAGAAAGGAAUGCUUCAGUUGAGAUAAAAUUGAGCAUAGGUUUUCGGAUUCGAUACAAUGAUUAGGUCUAGUUUGCAUUUAAUAAUUGGUAAUUUUAUUUCGAUUGUUUCCUGUUUUGCAGGCCAUGAGAAGAGCUGCGGUUUCUCUUUCCAAGCUCGCAGAUACGGCUCGGGAGGAACUUCCCAGUACAAUGGCUGCGAUUAGGCUUUCGGGCAUGGAAAUCAGUGAUCUUACACUGGAACUAAGUGAUUUAAGGUAACAAUUAAAUCUUCUUUGUCUUUUUUGUUGUAUACUCUUGCACUGUUUUGCUCUGAGUCUUUAUUUUUCUUGAAGUACGGGAGUAUCGUUAUGAGGAUAUGAUCAGAAAAAAUUAAGAGAAAAUUGAACAUGCUCAUGUCAGACACAUACCUAUAUCCGACACUGACACACUCAUAUUUUCAUCCUUUUGUUGCAUAGUCAUAGCAUAUUAUAGUUGAUAGAUGUAAUGACUUCUUAAAUGAAUAAUAAAUAUGAUGUCAAGUGUCAACUUUUGACAUUUCUGUUUCCUUUCCGAUGCCACAAUAGUAUAAUGCUUUUGGUUUGCAAUUGCCACUUAGCCAAGAGAUAGCCGAUGGUGUGAACAAAUCAGCUCAAGCUAUGCAGGCCGCUGAAGCUGGAAUUCGACAGAUCGGUUCGCUUGCCCACCAACAGACUAUGUGUAAGUUCAAAGCUCGCUCUUGAACCGCCCCGACAUAAAGGCUCGGUAUUGGUUUCAUUUUAUUUAACCCCAUUUCCUCUUAUACCCAGCAAUGAUUCAGGAAAGGGCUAGUCUACCUAUCAUCUCUAUACAACCCGUUGUUGCCGGGGCUGCUAGAAAAACUUCUCAUGCCGUCGGCCAAGCCACAAAGACGAUCAUGAAUAUCAUACAUCGAGGGGAAUCUGAGUCAGAGAAUGACGAUGAUAGUGUCAUUGAUCGAGUUGAAAUCUAAGGACUACAUUGCUUCUCAACACUGAUGGUCUGUGUACAUAAAGAGCUAAGACUUGGGACCGAACUUGUUUAAUUUUCCAACAGCAUAUAAUAUGUCGGAAAAUAUACACUAAUAUAAGUUCAAUAUGUUGCAUAUAAUUAAUGAAUAUAUUGUGGUUUGAAAUUAACCCUUUUUUCCCCAGUUUGUUCUUUUAAGUCUAAUUCAUGAAUUUAUUUUUAAGUCUAAUUUAUGAAUAUUUGGUUUCUUAAGCAGUCGGACACUUUAAAAAAAAACUAUAUUUUAAGAGAAGAAAUACAAUACAGUAUAUUUCAGCAAAACUCGCAUAGCUUAAUAGACUUGCAUAGUAUUUCACAACAUCUUCCUCUUAAAACAUCAACUUUAGCUUGAAAACCAGAAAGUCAACAAAUAUACACAUCUCUCUCUCUCUCUCUCUCUCUCUCUCUCUAUAUAUAUAUAUAUAUAUAUAAUAUAUGUGUGUGUGUGUAUAUGCCUGCAUCAAUGAGAUAUUCACUAGUAAUUGACAUAAUCUUCCCAGUUUCUUACAAGGACCAAAGACCUCUUCCUUCUUUCUGAAACUCUUUUUUUUUUUUUAAUCUUCUCUCUCCUGUGAAUCACAAAAAUGUCUAAUGAAGAAAAUAACUUUUCCUAAUUUCCAUCUUUAUAAUAUUACCACAACUUUUAUUAUAAGCAAGUAUCCGAAUUACCCUUCCGAAACCUCUGCAUUCACAAUGAAGUAACUUCCAUGGACCUUGACUGUGGUGUUGCUGAUGGACCAAUUUCUUUCCUCAUUUUCUGUAUACAUAUUUCAACGAAUUAAUACGUGAUUCGGCUCUGAACUAUAUAUAAGAUGUAAACAAUGAAAGGGAUUGAAGGUAAUUAAACCAUGUCAGCCACUGUGUUUUUCCAAGCCUUCUCUAACUCAUCAAAAACAACAUCGAUAGGUGGUCGGCCCCUACUCGAUUUGGCAACACAAAGUACUGCAAUUUUUAAAAUGGCUUCGAAAUCUUUCCUAUUGAGAUUUCCAUGAAGCCUCGGAUCUUCGAAAUCUGUUGAUGGACGAUUUCCCAGGCUCACAUCCUUUGCCUACAUCAAGUAUUCGGAUUUAAAUGACACUUAUUGUUGGCAAUCAAUUGCAGUGAAUAUUGACAACUAAAAGACUCAAAAUAUGUACUUUUCGUGUAAGUUGUUCACUGGCAUCGAGAUCCAACUCGAAAACUUUCUGUCCUGAAAGAAGUUGCAAGGCUACAAUGCCAAAGCUGUAGAUAUCACUGGCACAGGUUAGCUUCGCAUUGCUCAUAUAUUCUGGAUCCAUAUAACCUAUUGUUCCUCUAACAUCAGUGAAAACUUUGCUUUCCUCCAUUCCUAGCAUCUUUGCGAGCCCGAAAUCUGAGAGUUUAGGCUCCAAAUCUUCGGUCAAGAGGAUGUUUGUGAGCUAAAAGACAAGCAUUCAGUAUUAGGAACAAUUAUCAUAUACUAUGUUACUCGGACUCGGAUGUCAGAAUCAUACAUACUCAUGUCUGAAUAUGUGUCUGAAAAUGAAAAAUCGGAGCAGCAUAGUUCGUAGAGACAGAUUAGUAGGUUAUGAUCUGUGUUACCUUAAUAUCUCUAUGCACAAUGCAUCCAUCAAUGUAAUUGUGGAGAUACCUCAGCCCAAGUGCACAAUCUCUUAGGAUCUUAACUCUUUUUUCCCAUGUCAAGACAGUGUCUUUCCCUGAAAACGAAACAUAGUUCGGUCAGUUUAUAAAUUUCCACUCUUAAACGGUGACAUUCAAAAGAUCUGAGACCUGAACCCGGCAUCUGUAAUGCCACUGCCCUUCUUAAAGCACGAAAACUGCAAUUUGGGAUAGAAAAUUAGCAAAUUACAGAUAGAAAGAACAAACAUGUAAUGGUUGCAAGAAAACUUUACGUAGGAUAUGGUCAGCAAGAUUCCCUGAAUGACAAUAUUCCAAGACCAAAUACUGCUCAUCGCCUUCGAUACAGCAACCGAGCAAAGAUACAAGGUUCGGAUGCCGAAUCCGGGAUAGACCGGCAACUUCCCUGGUGAAAGAAUCCAAAGAGUUGCCUUUCUUUAUCUGCUUGAUGGCCACAACUUGUCCACUAGGCAACCUGCCUUCGAAAACUUCGCCAGCACUCCCUCGGCCUAAACUCUUCUUUCUAUUGUUAAUGCUUAUAGCUUUCUCAAUCUCAGCCUUUGAGAAGAUGUAGAGGCAAGACCAGUUAUUGAUGUCCUUUGGUAGCAGUGGUUUCGGAAGCCUUUUUUGGAUCUUGCUUUUCUUUAGGGUCACAAAUUUUACCAAGACUAGGAUCAAAAUCAGCACCAUGACUGCUACAAAGACUGCAACAAGUGCUUUUGCUAGGUUCCCUAUAAAAUUAUUUCAGUGAGCAUUUUUUAAAAUAUUCACCAAGAUUAAACCGCAACCAUAAUUUAAAUCCCUGACUUGAACAGAAUCAAACAGCUGCAAGAGAUGAGAUAAGAAAAUCAACUUACUUUUGAGUUUGAUAUAGCCUGGAUCUGUUAGGCAAAGAAAAGCUCAAAGUCAGGGUUAGGGAACUUGAACACCUAUGUUACUCAGACUCAGUUGUAAGUAUCAGAUACGAGUAUGUUUUUGAGUUUUUUCAGGUAUUUACUGAGUCCUUGGAACAUAGACUUGAAUGCAAGGCAAAAAAAGGAUUCUAAACAAGUUAUGGUCCUUACCAAAAUCAUCUAAAGAAGACAUACAGCUAAACAAAUUUGGACCAAAAGAGCUAUCAGUAACAUUUGCAGCAGCAACCGAAAGAACUGCAGCUAAACUACAUAAUGUUCUUUCAGUAUGAUCCUUUUGCCUUUGUACUAGUGCCAACAGAGAUUCAGCUACCUUUUCUAUGGCAUCAGUGCACUUCUUACAGGUGUUGUCAAAUGAAGAACUUAAGUCAGAACAUAACUUCACUGCUUCCAAGUAAAGUGGACUGCCCUGAAUUUGUGACAGGGAUAGGUUUGAACAUUUGGAACUGCCAGAGUAAAUAUUGUCAAAUCCACAAGAGUGUAGGGAAACUAAUGGUUGUGAUGGAAAUGGAGAAUUGCAUUGGUUCCAUGAAUCUUGUCCAAUGAAGAUGAUACUGUCUGGUAUUUGAUUAGCUCGAACUGCAAGAACUUGAAACAAGGCAUUGAGGGCGUUUCGACAGCAAAGAUGUGAAGAUAUACUGCCCCAUAAGAUGACUUUCCCAUUUUCACCAAUGCAGUUACCACUUGGUAGGUAAGGGUAUGAAGUGAAAUUCAAGGAACAGUCUGCAAACAAAUAGCCUCUUUGUUAAAUUGCACCAACAGACACAUUUUGUAUCACGUCUGUCAUAAUCAAUUAUAAUAAAUAUCUACGGUUGAUAGAGCCAAAAUCAUAAAACAAAGUAAGAUUGAAGAUAUGGCUUUUACCUUCUAAUUCUAUACAUUAUUUUUUCAGGCAUCAAGCUCCAAAACCAUCUUAGCAAAACCAUUGUUAUUAUCUUCAAUCAAAAUUGUUUGAGCACCAAAAAAAAAGAAAGGAAAUAAAUGGCUUACAAUGUCUAAGUCAAGCAUAAGGUGAGCUCAGGUGACCCUAACUGUUAUCUAAAAACACAGUCAACAUAGCGUUUAUUUUUGUUAACUUAUGUAGUCACCUUUAAAAAGUGAUGUUUAAUAGACACUUCCCCUAUAUCUAAGUUGCAACGAUCUUUGUACUAAAAGAAGCAGCUCAUGUGGACUUAAAUUGGUAUCUAAAAACAAUGUCAACCUUGAAUGUAACUCAAUUCUUAUAGCUACCUUUAUGAGGUUACAUUUAGUAAAUUUGGGUUUGAAUUUAUGUAUUUACAUUUCUCUCCUCUGUCUUUAGGGUACCACUUUCUUUGUAAAAACAAGUAACCUUGUGAACUUAAAUUGUUAUCUAAAAACCAAGUGAACAAGUAACCUUGUGAACUUAAAUUGUUAUCUAAAAACCAAGUGUGUCUGGAUUUUAACUUAAUUAUUUCAUGAAAUCACCUUUAAGAUGUGGCAUUCAACAAAUUUAGCAUCUACUACUUCUUUUCAUGUCAGUAGACUCUAAUUUCUUUUAUUUAAAAGCAAAAAAAAAAAAAAAAAGAUUUAAGAAACCUUAAUUUAUUAUCUAAAAACUAGAUGAAUCUCGAUAUUUUAACUCAAAUGAUUAAUGAGCCACCUUAAGGUGGCAUUUGACAAGUUUAAUUUGGGAUUCUAUUAUCUACAACUUCUAUCUAUAUCCCUAGACCUAUAAUUUUGGAUUCUACUAUCUACAACUUCUAUCAAAACUUUAAAAGUGCACUUAAGGGUGACAACACUUUGAGGGUUUGUGACCCAAAUAAGACAAUUUUGGCUUAUGAUUUUUUAUCAUAUGUUCAUGCCCAAUAAUCUGAAUCAGAUUGUGACAUAAUAUGUCGCCACACACAAACGAGUGCACUUUGCAGAACUGAUAUUAAUUGACAGUAGACUUAAAUUGUUCUCUUGAAACUAUGGGAAACUCAGAGGCCUAAAUUUAUUCAUGACAUCAACAUUUAAGAGAUAGCAUUCAAUAAAUUUGGAUCCAAUUUCUAAUGUCUACAAAUCAAUUAUCAUAACCCAACAUCUUUUAUCAAAUCAUCAAAGCAAAGCUUAAAUCCAGGACCAAAACAAAAGGUCAAAAUUUUCAUUUAAACAAAAAAACAAACACAUGGAUUACAGUAAAAAGAGUUAAAAUAGUAAAAAGAGAAAUUUAACCUGCAACAUCUGGUGAAGGAGCAGCAAAAGCAAAGGCAAUAAAAAAGAAGCAAUAAAUGCAGCACAAGGUGGCAAGUUUCAGCCAUGUAUAAAGUGUUUUCAUCUCUUCUUUUUUUCCUGCUAUGGUAGACCCUAUAAAGAUUUAUACACCAUGGAAGAAAGAUAUAAUUACAGUAUAUGAAAGAGAGGGGGAAAAAAGCUGAAAUUUUUCCAUUGGAGAACAUCAAGUUUUUCAUUUAUACACCAUUGUUUCCCUAGUGAUUAUCAUCUAAAAGGCUGGAUAUUCUUUAAUGGUAGCUGGAUUCUUACAGCUAACUUUACAAAACCUUGGAAUGUUCACCAUUUAAAGAAUUUUAUCAGUUCAUCUACAUUGCAAGUCUAACAUUCAUUGUAUAUACAAAACUUUCCUUGAAUUUAACUCCCAUUUGACGAUUUCUUUUUUCUAUCUAUUCAUCAGAGUAAUCCAAUCAUAGAAUCUUAAAUCACAUCCCCGCUUCUUCUGCUGAACCACCUCCAGCCCGGUUCAAUUCUUGGAUGUUAAUAAAAAACCGACUGAGAUAUCUAACCAAUAACAAAUUGGAACAUAGCAUAUGUUGACCUCAUGAUGAUGUAAUCAUUUGGAAUAAAACCCUAAAAAUAUUUAAAAAUAUAAAAUAUAAAUAUAUAUAUAUAAUUGUUUAAAAAUUAAAAAAUUGUUAGAAUUUAAAGAAAAAAUCAUUUGGAAGAUUGUAAAAGUUAUUAAAAAUUUUAUAUAAAAAUUGUAUUUUAAAAUAUUUUAAUAAAAAUUGAAUAAAUUUUUAUAUCAAAAUUUGUUAUUAUACAUUAUAUCUAAUGUAUAAGAACCAAUUUACUAAUUUUUCAAUAAACAAGCUAAAAGACGAUUCUUAAGGGAGUUUUGUAAUAUUUUUACCGAAUACGCCUAAACAUAUCAAGUAAAGAAAACAAUUCAUGCAAGUUUCGAUAUUUUAAUUUACAACGCUUUUAUAUAUAAAUCAUUGUUUUUCCCUAGUAAUUACCAGUGAAAAAGAUUAGGAUAAGAAUUCUUGUUUGGUUUAUUUUGUUUUAUCUCAUGUCUAAUUUUGAAUGAUUUUCAUUUAAUUCACAUAAUCCGAACAUAUGAAUACAUAUUUGAAAAGACUGUGUUGAAAGUCAAUAAAUGUGAGAUAAAAGAUUUUAAAGCUAUCCUCUGAUAGAGAUAAAAAUGUAUGAAAGGUAUCCUGAUCAACUUAACAAAUUUAUAUAUUUUAAAGUCAGUCUCUUAAAACAUAUUUUUUUGCUGAAUCCUCAAUAUAUGAUAUAAAUAUAAAUCAAAUUGUAGAUUAUCAAGUGGGAGCUCAACUUAAAAUUUUGGUUCAGAUGUAUAUACUGCGUGCUUUUACUUUUUGACUCUUUUGUUCAUUCCUUCUUUUAAAUGUUCACAAGAAAUUAUUGCUUCAAACUUAAGUUUACUCAAUGGUUUAGUGAAUGAUAAUUGUUUGCUUAGACUUAAAAGUGCCUUUUAAUGGUAUGUGUAAUACCCAAUUAUUGCCCGGGGCCCAAAAUCCUAAAGCCCAAUGACCCAAUACACCAAACUAAAAACCAACAGCCCAAAUACAUUUGGCCCAAUUGGCCCAAAAUUAGCCAUAGCCCACAACGUGUUUUAGCAGCAAUGGAAGCAGAAACCGCAGAUCCUCGCACGUUCUCCAUCUGCAGCAACGACCCCAUCACCCCAUGUCGCAAUCACCCACGUUCAGUGAUCCCUCGCGUUCUACCUGCAACAAAACCACAAACAACAAUAAAUAAAAGGGAGGGCUAGAAAAGCAACAAGGGGUUACGAAAAUUAAGGGAAAAAAGAAGAAAUAGAGAAUAGGGGGUUUACAUUUUUGUAUCAGAAAAUUAUUGAGAGAGUUGAUAAAAACAAGAAAUUGAAGCAAAAAUAUUGUAUACAGAGAUAUUUGAAAGAAGAAAAAGAAUAAAAAAGCAAUUUUGAAGGUAAUCAGGGGUUCCAUUUUUUUCUUCUUUUUUACUGUCUUGUUUUCUUUAUUUUCUUUCUUGUUCUUUAAAACAAAAAGAAACAAAGAAGAAGGGGAACAGCUCUUACCGGUGGCAGCGCGCCAUCGAGGCGCCGUCGUCUUUGUGGCAGAUUGGAAGUGGAGUUGAAACAGCAGAGAAGAAGAUGAAUGUGGCUGUUGAAGUUGCAGAUGGAAUAAGGAUUUUAAUUAAGAUUUGAAAUGGGUUUUAAGCAUUGAUGGGUUAUUUUCGUUUUUAAUCCUUUCAUGUUUUUCAUCAUUUCAAAACCAUUGUUUUUAUUGUUUACAAAUUUUUCCAUGACAUAUUAAAUCUGUUCUUUUUUAAUCCCAUGCUGCACAACAUUUUGGAAGGGUGGGAUUAAUUUCCCUUUUUGCCGUCCAUGUUGCACGCAUUUUGCAAAUUCAUCCUCUGCUUUAAUUUGAUUUUGUGUUUUUAAUUUUGUUUUGAUUCAAAUUUAAUCCAUUGUAUUUGCUUUUGCAAAUUAGAUUGUAUAUUAGUCUGUUAAUAUUGUUAUUGUUAUUGUUAUUAAGCUGCUGUUAUUUUUGUUAUUAUAUAUUAUUAUUAUACACAUACACGCGCAUAUGUAUUUUAUUAUAUAUAUAUAUGUAUACAUUUUAAAUGUUUUAAAUUCAUAUCCAUAUCUUAUAUAUUUUAUUAUUGUUUUAUUUUUCUUAGUUUUAUAUAUAUAUACGUACAUAUAUUUCUGUUUUAUAAUAUUUAUAUAGUUUUUUUUAUAUUUUAUAAUCUGAAUAUAUAUACUUUUUUUAUAAUAUAUAUAUAUAUACAUUCACUAUUCCAAAAUUAUAAUAAAUAUAUUUUCUGCAUUCUUCUUUUAUAUACCUAUAUAUCCAUAUUUUUAUAAUCUACUAAUAUAUUAUAUUUAUACAUUUUUAUGUUUAUUAUUUCUAAAAUGUAUAUAUAUUUUAUUAUUAAUUCAUUUUCAUGAUUUUAGUAAUAUAUAUAUAUAUAUAUAUAUAUAUAUAUAUGCAUUAGCAUUUUAUCAUGUCUCCAAAGAAAAUAUAUUUUGGUUUCGUUAAAGCAUUAAAAUCGUUUUUAAAUUUUCAAAAUAUUUGGCAUUCAUGGUUCUCGAGAAAGAUCGUGUCCUAACUUACUGGAUUGUGAUCAUUUUUCGAUGAAUUUAGAAAGCCAAUUAUUUGUUCUGUAAUAAAUUCACAAAGAUUUCAAAUAAAAGCUUAUUCUCGGGAAUCCAAGAAUGUCGGGUCCUAACUUACUGGUCGUGACAUUUUAUCAACUCGAAAUAAGAAUUUCUAAAACCAAAGACGAACUUGAUUUUGAAGAUUUAAAAAUAUUGUGCCCUAACUCACUGGGUGUGAUGUUUUAUUUCUUUGAAAUAAGAAUGUUUAUCAUUUUAAUUCAUUCACGAGUUAAAUUUUUUAUUUAAACUCUUUUCAAAUUUUCGACAUCAAGACAUAAAAUAAUCAAAUUUGGUACCGAUUUUUGGGCAUUACGAGGGUGCCAACCCUUCCUCGUACGUAAUUGACUCCCGAACCUAUUUUCUCAAAUUUCGCAGACCAAAAUCGUUUUUAAGGUGAGCCGAUCACACUUCAAUCAAGGAUCGGUGGCGACUCCAAUUUUUGUUUUUAAAGUCGAUAACUUAUUUUUGUUUUCAAAAAAAUGAUUUCGACAGUAUGUAUCAGACAAUUUGCUCAAUGAAGAAUGCCAUGCAUGGAUAUUUAUUUCAUUUUUUUAUUAGCCUUAAAAUUAUUCAUAACCCCUCCUUUAAAUUUAUUUUAUUACGCUCGAAUCCACAUGCUCCUAUACUAAAAUAAUGUUGAAGCCAACUAAGACUCAAAUUAAUCAACAUUAAUAGAGCUUUUUAACUUUUUAACUCCGUUGCUAAGAUUUUUAAAUCUAAAAAAUAAACAAGACACUUAUUUUAAUCUUAUUUGUGAAUUUUUUAUUUGAGUAAAGUACACCCAUGGUCACUAAACUAUCAGUAAGUUUACGUUCUAGUCACUCAACUUCAAAAAGUUAUAAAAUGGUCACUGAACUAUUCGAAAGUUUUCAUUUAAGUCAUUGGGCUAUUAAAAUCGCUAUUGUAUAGCCUUCUCUGUUUACACUGCCUGCACCAAUCAAAAGUUUACAUUUUUCUCUUUUACAGUUCAGUUUUUUUUCAUGAAACAAUCUUUAACAUCACAAAUCUAUGAAUCAAACUCCUAACAAUUUUCUUCUCCGAUCUCCGACAUUGAUUGUCGGAUCAACUUGGAUCUAAGGUAUUUUUUUCUACUCGUCGAUGGGUACUAAUCAACCAUAUUGAUCACCGAAUCAUCGCUUGGAGCUCGCUAGCCAAACUUUUUUUUUUAAAAGAACACUUAUCAUCCCAGUGAUUUAAAUAAAACUUUCAAAUAAUUCAAUAAUCAUUUUGUAACUUGUUAAAGUUGAGUGACCGAACUGUAAAUUUACUAAUAGUUUAAUGACGUUGAGUGAAGUUGGCCUUUUUUAACCAAAACCGUUUUUUAAAAAUUGAACACCGUUAUUAAUUUCUAUAUCUAAACUACCAUAUUCCGCUGCACACAGUCUUACAUUAAAACCAUCACUUAAAAACCACGUGAUUCACAAAUCCGACGGUCCUAAUUCAAUUUUACGUUUAUGCCUUUUUGUGUUCAGUGUUUCACCAUUUCCCCGCGUAACCCGCUCUACUACUUUUCCUCUCUAAUCUAUCCAUAAUUUUUGUUCUUCUUUUAAUUAUUUGCAGCAAAUUCUCAUUAUUAUUUUAUUCAAAAUUGCUGCAAUUUUUUGCGAAAUUGGUGGGAGACUCGAAGAUUCACGUCUGAAAAUUUCGAAAUAAAGGUUUCCUUUUCGUAUUUUUUUUUUUUUUUGCUAAGCUUGCUCUUCGAAUUUCUUCGUCCUUCAAAAUUCCUUGUUGUUUUUUUAUAAAAUCUACAAAAAGAAAAUAUAGUUUAAAAGAGUUGAAAUCGAAAGCUUUCCGCAUGCAUGUUAUUGAUCCUCCGAAACAAUUAGGUGAUUUUUUUUGUAUGUUUGGUUGUAGAGAUAGGAAUAAAGGAUAGGAAGUAAAAGAAGAGAAGAAAUUGACUUUCAUAUUUGGAAUUUUUUUUGUUUAAAUUUGUACAUGUGAUAUUAGUGCAUGCGUUUUUGCUCCAAAUUAAUUCGAUUUUUUUUAAUGUUUCAUUUUUGUUGUUUGGUUGAUGAGAAAGUGCAAGAAUGAAAAACGAAAGAUAAAUUAUAUUUUGUUGUUUUUUCCAUGAUAAAAAUAUCGGUUUCUAAAUGAUUCACCUUGCUUCAUCCUUUCUACAUUUUUAACUAUCAUUAUUAUCUAAUUAAAAUUAAUUAUUUUCUCUCUCUUUUUUUCGUGUUAAUUUUAUAUUUGUUACUCUAUACUUAAUCAAAGAGUUAAUGACAACGACCAGCCAUGAGAGCCAUACAACCUUUUGGAGAUACACAGUGUUGAAGGAAAAUCUCAGCCUAAAGCUUUGGAUUACAACUACAUUAAAAAUCAACUUGUUGUAAAGUAUAUUUUGAUACAAAAAAGAGAUCAAUAUGGUGGCAUCACAGUUAGCUGUUGUAUUUUCUAAGUUGCAAACACUAUUUACUUCAGAUCAUGCCUCUGUAGUCUCUUUGAACCUAUUCGUCGCUCUUCUUUGCGCUUGUAUCGUGAUCGGUCAUCUUUUGGAGGAGAAUCGAUGGAUGAAUGAAUCAAUUACUGCCCUUGUGAUUGUGAGUUUCUCUCUUGACAUUUAUUGGCAUAGAUUUAUUUGUUUGUGAAUAAUUCAGCUAAGUUUUGUUUGCUUGGAUUAUAUGUUUUAAUCUAUUUUCAUGUUCAACAUUUGUUUUCAAAACAUAUUCGAACAUUGACGCGGGAUAUGAUCCUGCAGGGAUUCUCCGAAGACAAGAAAAAAAAAAAGAAUUGAACAUUGUCAUGUCGAACGCAUAGUCCCAUCCAACUCUGACUAGACUGUGUUUUACUCGUUUAGUACAUUUGAUUUAAUUGAUGUUAUGUGCAGGGCCUUUGUACUGGGGUUAUUAUUUUGUGGAGAAGUGGGGGGAAAAGCUCACGUCUUUUAGUCUUCAGUGAAGAUCUCUUCUUUAUUUAUCUUCUGCCCCCAAUUAUAUUCAAUGCCGGGUGAGUUCGUUCUUUCGUUUUCAUUUCUCUAGACAAAGAAUAUGGAAAUUGUUUAGCUUGUAGAAACUAAAAUAGAUGUACAUGCAACACUAGUUAAAUGUAUUAACUGUAUUUUGUUUGAUUUAUAAAGCCUCAUGUCAAUAGUGGGUCAAUUUGUUAACAUACCACCGAGCCAUUUUUUAUUAACAUGAUGAGACCGAGCUUUUACUGCAGCAUGUGCCACCGAAUCUGCUGCUUUAUAUUUGGUACCAUCAAUUAAGAAUUGUUUCGCAUGCUUGCCGCUGCUUAUUCUAUAUUCUAGCUUGAACUUGAAUAUAAAUUCCCUGUGUUUUCAAUAUUAUAAAUAGGGGAAUAAAGGUGUCCUUCGAUCUUGGGGGUUUAUCUAAUUAAGAAUAUGAAGUAAAGACUUCAUUUCGUUCAUUAUUUAUCGUCUAAAGCCCUUCUAAUCUUUGCUUUAUCUACCAGGUUCAAGGUGAAAAAGAAGCAAUUUUUUCGUAACUUCAUCACCAUCAUGAUGUUUGGGGCUAUUGGUACAUUAAUAUCCUGUACAGUUAUAUCUUUAGGUAUUUUCAAGAACUUUACAGAUGCAGUUUACAGUAGUGCAGAUACAAUCUUUUUUUCCUUUUCUCUCUUGUUUUCGUGUGUAGAGAAUGAUGGCCUAUGUUAUUCGGACUUGGGUGUGAGUGCGGAUACGGAUUUGUAUACAGCACGAGAAUGUUUAACCUUUUCAAGUUGUUCUGUAUUUGGAGGGUCUUUAGUGGGUCAUAUCCCCAUAAUGAUGUUUGAAUAUAUGUCAAACAUAAGUUUCAGACACAAAUACUUCAAAAAUAAUGAAGGAACAUAGUUGGUAAUAUUACGGUGUGGCUUAAUUUGUUAAUUAAAAUCCUAGUAUUGGUUGGAUGUGAAUGAAAGUUUGAUGCUUCAAACAGGUGCUACUUACAUGUUUAAGGAAAUGGACAUUGGCUCCUUGGAUAUUGGAGAUUUUCUAGGUAUCUGCCCUUAUAGCUCAAUUAGUUUUAAAAAUUGCUUUCUUCAUGUUUGAUUGUCUUACUAUAUUGUUCCCUACAAUCCUCAGCAAUUGGAGCAAUCUUUGCUGCAACAGAUUCUGUUUGCACACUACAGGUAUUCACAAAGUAAAUUCGUAGUAGCCUUUCAAAUUUGAAAGUAGAUCUUGCAAAUUAGGACAUGACACGAACCUAAGUAGAAAAAACAAAAGAAUAAGUAAAACAUUACAUAGAACACGGUACGACAAAAAAAAAAAAACACGAACUUGUCAAAAUACUAAGGUGUCAAAUUUUAUAAUAAAUAUGUAAUACUUUAUAUGAGUAUGGCUAGAUGAACCAUCAGAGCAAAAUAGAAAAUGGCGAGAUGACGUUUUACAUACAUGGAAAACCAAGGAAAAAACUGAAUAUACCCAUAACCGACACUCACACCAGAUUCAAAGCAAAAUAGACUAGUAUAUCAAGCAUACUAAAGUGGAGUUGUUUUCUUGUGGUGUAGGUGCUUCAUCAAGAUGAGACUCCAUUACUAUACAGUCUGGUUUUUGGAGAGGGUGUUGUAAAUGAUGCAACCUCAAUAGUGCUUUUCAAUGCAAUCCAGAGUUUUGAUCUCUCUGACAUCAAUUUUAGAAUUGCUCUGAAGUCUAUUGGCAAAUUUUUCUAUUUGUUUUCAGCAAGCACAAUGCUGGGAGUGUUUGUAAGUCUUUUCUUAUCUAAACUCAUUAUGUAAGCACUGAACUUCCCCCGAGGUGUGAUAUUUUUCUUCGCCUUACAGGUUGGGCUUGCAAGUGCUUACAUCAUCAAAACGUUGUACUUUGGCAGGUAUGUUUUUUAUGGUAGAAAGGUUUUUAUGUCAAUUCACUAAUCCGAAUAUAUGUCAUGUUCGUGCUUUUUUUUCUCAUUAAAAAUAUAUGUUUCUAUAUUUUGAUACAUAAAUAAUUUAUUUUAUUUAAAUUUUGAAAUGUUUGUAUAUUCAUGUCUUAUACACAAAAGUAUUUAGUUGGCAUAGAACUUCAUUCGGAUGUUAUUUCUUAUUUUUGGUUAUCACAGUACAAUGUUGAUGGUACAAUGUCCUUGAAGUCUUGAACUAAAGUAUUCAAUGUACUUGGUUUUAACAUGAUUCAGGCAUUCAACAGAUCGAGAAUUCGCUCUUAUGAUGCUUAUGGCAUACCUUUCAUAUAUUUUGGCUGAAGUAAGACUCUUCUUAGUGAAACAUGACAGCUCCUUGCAGCCCGUCCUUUCCCUAUGAGCUUCUGAAUUUGAUGACUAAUGUGGUUUUUAAGUAACUUUAAUGUUGCCUCCCCUGCAGCUGUUUUAUUUGAGCGGCAUUCUCACAGUAUUCUUUUGUGGGAUUGUGAUGUCACAUUAUACAUGGCAUAAUGUUACUGAGAGUUCAAGAGUAACAACAAAGUAUGCUUUCUCCAUCUGUCAUUUUACCCUUCAUUUUUAGUAUUCAGGUCUAAUGCAUAUCUAGAUAUUUGUUUGCGGAUAAGACUCUCCAAAAAUCCUCCAAAUAUAUGAAAAUUUUAAAAAACAUUUAAUAUACCAACUUCAGAGUUCAGACACAUACCUAAAUUGACACUGAUAUCCAAAUCCGUUAACAUAGUCUCCGUUAUGUUAUCUAGGGCAAUAAAGGUCAUGAUAUCUGGAAGAAAAAAAAUGCCUCAAACAAUGUUUACGCUUUGUGCAUAUGCCACAAUUGAUUCAGUUCUUUUUGUUUAAACACAGGCAUACUUUUGCCACCUUGUCAUUCGUUGCUGAGACUUUUAUCUUUCUUUAUGUCGGCAUGGAUGCCUUGGACAUUUCGACAUGGAGAGUAAAUGAUCGGUAUGUUCUAUUCGACUCUAGGAAGUACAACUUCUUUUGCAUUUCCUUUUUCUAACGUGCAUUGUAUGAAAUCUAAGCUACGUGAACUCUUCUUUUUCUUGAACUAUUGAUGUCUGACACUCUUUCCAAUACAUAUUCGGACCUAAGUAUAUGACCCUCCAAGGAGCUUUAAAAUAUUAAAAAAAUAAUAACUUCAAAAAACUGAACAUAUCCGUACUGGAUACUCGCAUCAUCUUUUUUUUGCAGGCCUAGAACGUCACUUAUGGUUAGCUCUAUACUACUUGCUCUGGUUAUGGCCGGAAGAGCAGCUUUCGUGUUUCCCCUAUCAUAUUUAGCAAACUUAUCAAAUAAAUCAUCUAGUGAAAAUAUAAGCUUUAGGGAACAAGUAUGUGUUCUUGGCAUUAAACUUUUUAUUUAUUUAUUAUUCCAAAUCAAUUAAUAUUGUUAUUUGACAUUACCAUUUCUUCGCAUUUCUUUGUUUAGAUAAUAAUAUGGUGGGCUGGUCUCAUGAGAGGUGCCGUAUCUAUGGCUCUUGCAUAUAAAAAGGUAAUGGAGUCUCGAUACUCUUACGUCUCUUGAGACCACAGCGUUAUUAUCGGUGUUAUUACUAUUACUCAUGGAAAGUAGGAUUAAAGUUGGCAAAAAUAGUAUAAAGUAAUUGUAUCAAAAUAUAUUCGGACAUUAGUAUAGGAUGUGAUAUGAUCAUCCAAAUAUAUCAAGAGAAAAUACUAGAUAAUUAUAUUCUCGUAUUAAACAUAUACUUAUAUUUUAUAUUAAGUGAAAAUUCAGGUCAUAUAUAGAUAAUAAAUAAGAAGAACAGAGAAAAUAAGAGUAAACUAGCAUUAAAGUUAGUUGAACUAGAAUGAGGAAUCUCAAUAGAAAUAAUAGAUUCGAACUUUUCGUAUUUUUAAUGCACAUACAUUUAAUACAUAUUUAAAUAUUAAUACAAGAAUCUAAUAUGAUUCUCCAAAUAUAUAUACAAAGAAAACUUUUAAAAAUAUAAACAUAUCCAUGUAAGACAUAUUGCUCACAUCCAAUCAAUAUUUAAGUCUAAUCCAUGUCAUAGAUGAUAGAAUGAGAGUAAUUCAAAGUAUGAAAUGAUUUGAUAGACUUUUACUUAAUGUUAUGAAUGCAGUUCUCAAGGUUAGGUCAAACUGAACUGCGAAAGAAUGCAGUUAUGAUUACAAGCACUAUAACCAUAGUUUUAUUCAGCACUGUGGUAAGAUAUCUAUUGCUUUUAUCUACUUUAAACCCGACUCAAACUAAAAAAAGCUCGUUCAAUUGUUUUUUAUAUAAUUUUUAUUCAAAAUUUUAAAUUAAAGAAUUUUUCUUAUUGUUGCAACUGUCUGAAUUCAGGUUCAAUCUACAAAUAACAAAAUACUUUUAAAAAAUUUUUAUAUCACUACUAAUUUAGACCGACUUUGUCGAACAGGAUGAAUUACUAUUGUAUCCACAAACAGGUCUAGAUCAACCGCCUAAAAUCAUUAUUUUUGGAGAUGUCACACUUACUAUUUUUUGUGUUGUUUCUGCCAUAGGUUUUUGGCAUAAUGACUAAACCUCUAAUAAGGGUCUUGUUGCCUCAUCCCAAAAUAACGACUAGCAUGCUUUCAGAAGCAUCAACUCCAAAAUCCAGUACAAUGCCGUUUCUCGGAAGUGCCGAUAAUUCUUUUGAUGAUAAUCUCGGUGCAGCUCAUCGGCCGAGUAGUAUUCGUGAACUUCUUGCAACUCCGACGCACACCGUUCAUCGUUAUUGGCGUAAGUUUGAUAAUGCCUUCAUGCGCCCGGUGUUUGGUGGCAGGGGUUUCGUGCCUUUUGUUCCCGGUUCCCCGACUGAAAGGAGCGAACAUAAUCUACUACAUAAGGAAAGUAGCGAAUCGGAUGUUUGCAAUUUUUGAAAUAUACAAAUUCAAACCUUUUUAGUUUACAUAUAUUAGAAUUCGUUUAUUAUAUUUACUAAAUAUAUGAAAUAUUUGUUUAAGUUUAUUUGAGUGACUUUUAAGAUAUCGAAGUUAUAAAAAUUUAGAUUGAAUAAUAUUGGGUUUUUGUAUUGUAAUUUAUCUUUAAUUUAUUUAUUAUUGGGAUAUAUCACUUCAAUUUAGAAGGAAUAAAAUUUAAUUUGACUUGAAAAAUUUGAAAAAAAUUCAACACUCUAAAUUUUGUUUCUAUUAUUAGAUCUUGAUGUUUCUUCCAUUCAGCAUACAGGUUCUGAUCGCUUUACGUUUUUUAUUCAUGACUGUCUCUUCCAAUUAUAUCGUCUCCAAAAUUUGAACCUUGAUCUUCUUUUAAAAAUACAAUAUACUUAACCAUUACACCCAACCACUUAUUAAUAUAUAGAUACUUAACUUUCACUUCCAUGACUUAACCCAAAAUAAUAGCAACCUAAAUUUAUAGGAUACUAGACAUAUUUAUUAUUUAAUACACUUUUCAUCUUAUUUUGAUAUAUUUUAAAUGUUAUGAUUUGUGUAAAACCGAAGAUUUUGUUAAAAAGCUUUGUUAUUUGUUUAAAUUUAAUUAUAAAACAUUUUAAUAUAAUUUUUUUAUUGUAAACAAUAAGUUAAAUUUUCGGAUAAAAAAUAUUAAUAAACAAUUAAAGUCCAAAUAUUAAAAUACCCAAAACAGGAUAAUUUGGUAAACUCAACUUUGUAGACUCUACUGUCAAUACACUACACCUACCCUAUCACUGGACCAAUAAAGUACAAUGCAGCCUUUACCUAACUCCAAAAAAAAAAAUUAAUAUUUAGUAUUUUAUUGAGGUUAUUUUUAUACAUUAAUUAAUUAUAAAAAAUAUUUCUACAAAAUAAAAUUAAAUAUUUAUUAAAUAUCUUGUUUUCUUUGUAAAUAUAAAAAAAUAAAUCAAAACUCAAAUUUAUACUAAAUAAGAUACGGUUGUAUGAUAUAUAUAUAUAAAGCUUAUUAAAAUUUUAACCGUUUAAAUUAUAUCAUGUGUAUUAUUUUUUAAAUAUUUUUAAAAUUUUUAUUACAUCCUAAAAAAUAGAUGCCACCUUUAAAUCAUGAAAAAAAAAAGAUAAAGCUAAUAAUAUAUCAAACAAAUUUUCAUAAAAAAUUUAAAUAUGAUUUAACUAGAAAUUUUAUUUAUAUAUUUUUUAUCUAUAAACUCUUAACUCUUAAAUUGAAGAGUUUUAUAUGAAUUCGAACUCGUAUCUUCCUCUUAAAUGUUACAAUAAUAAUCGUGUCAACUGAGUUAAAACUCAAUUAGCUUAAUUUUUUUAAUAUAUAUAAUAUAUGAAAAUAUUUGAUAAUUACUGGCAAAAUUUUUUAGGCUUUACACUGAAGGUUGGGACAGGGGUGUUCAAACGGUUAAUUGAAUCAAACUAGUAUUUAUCGAAUUAAUCAAACCUUUUAACCCUUUAACCAUUAGCCGAGCUGAAUUUUUUUUUCAAAAAAAAUUAACCGAACUGAAAUAUUUCGGUUAAUUCGGUCAGUUAACCGAAAUUCAUAUGUUUUUUUAGUUAAAAUAAAUAUAAAACAUAUAAAAAAUAAAUUGAUAAUGUUUAUUUAACCGAAUUAAAACUACAUAUAAUUCAUAUUGUUAAUUAUUAAAUUCGGUCAAUUUGAUUAAUUACCCUAUUUCGAACUGAAUUAACCAAUAAAUUAACUUCCAAAAAAUCAUUAACAGACCGAUUAAUUAAAUUAGAUCGGUUAAUUCGAUUUUAAUCGAAAUUUGAGCACUCUAAAUUAGGGUGAUGACAAAUGUCUAAUAGGGUAUAUUAAAGUAUUAAUAUAUAUAAUGAGACAAAUGGCAAUUUUUAAAUUUCGCCGGUAGAAUUAAAAAAAAGAGAGCAUAUUGUUAAUGUACCUAAUGUUAAUCAAUUUAUAAUUAUACAAAUUUAAAUCAAAAUUAAAAAAAAAACCUUAAUUCAAUUAAUAAGCCUUUAAACUAUAUUUUUUUGUAAUAAGAUACUUAAAACUUUUUUUUGGUGAAUUAUUUACCUAAAUUAUAAUUAGGCAAUCAUUAAUGGCUUCCAAUUUAGAAAAACCUUUUAUUUUAUUCAAUCAAAAGUUGAAUAAAAAAAAUUCUAAAUUCAAUAGUAGAUAAAACACCAAACCCCGACUCCAAACAACCAAAAACAAAGAAAGCUACUUAAACUUAUUUGCUUUCUUUCGCCUUCGUCUCCUCAAAAUCCCAAAGCAAAUGGCUCUCGAAAGCUUUCAGGUAAUUCAUUCUUCUUUCUGUUUUAUUGUUGUCAUUACAAUGUUAAGGUUAAAAAGACCAAACAAUGUUUUGUUUUGUUUUGUUUUUUGGACUGAUCUUUAGUCUUCUUUGAUGAUCAUCUGUUUGGUUGUUGAGAAAAAAAGUCAAAACAAUGAAGAGAACUGAAACAGAAGAAGAUUUUAAGUUCUGGGUUGUUCUUGUAUAUUGGUCUAAUGUUUCAAAGCUUCUUGCUUUUUCUUUUUUCAGUUGACUUUAACAGUUGUAAUUUGUUUCCCAUUUUUUGGGGGAAUGAAAGAGAAGUACACUUGAUGCUUUGAUUUGUGUUAUGAAUUGUUUUUUAAUGUUUCCUAUUGAUUGGUUUUGAGUGAUUUGAAAUUGCAUUGGAUUAAAGAUAUAAACUUUAACUACUUUUUGUUUGCUUCUCAUUAUUAGAUCAGUGGAUGCUAGUUUGAUGAAAAUAGCUUGAUUGGCUUUAGUGUUUUGUUUUUUCUUUUGAUUUUGAUAUGCAUUUUGCUUGAUUUCAUUUUGGAUUACUGGGUUUAGUUUCCUUAGAUGCUAGAUAAAGCAUUUCAUGCUUGUUUUUUAUUCAUAUUUCUUAUUCCUAGACAUAUAUAUAUAUAUAUAUAUAUAUAUAUAUAAGCUUCAAAAUGAAUUCUUUUUGUUCAUUUUCUAGUAUUUGAUCUGAGCUCGGUUAAUUUGUACAAAAAUCUAAGUGAUUCCAUUGGCUAUGGUGACCGCUUUUUGGUGUACUUUUAGUUGCCGAUCACAGAUUUCCAUAUCGGCAAUGAAACUCGAAGGAAUUCGGUGUUAAUUUGCGUGCCGAUAAUGGCAGAAUCAGUUGAUCAAAUGCUGGUUCAGAUGCAAAAGGCAAAGGACUUUGGUGGCGAUCUUGUUGAGCUUCGGGUGGAUUUCUUGAAGAACUUUGUUCCUAGGCAAGAUCUUGAUAUCUUGAUCAAACAAGCUCCAUUGCCAACUCUUGUCACCUACAGGUAAUGAUUUAUAUCCUUUGGAGGAAAUAAAAAUGGUUGCAUCUGUUAUCUAUGAUAUUCAGAGAAAUUGCUCUGUAUAUGAUUCUGUUGUUGGAGAAAUAUCUUCCCGUAUUUAACAACCCGUCUUAUGGAUAAUACAUUUUAGACCAAGAUGGGAAGGUGGUCAAUAUGAUGGUGAUGAAAGCAAGCGGCGAGAAGCAUUACGUCUGGCCAUGGAAUUGGGAGCCGAUUACAUUGAUAUAGAACUCAAGGUUGGUCACAGUUGCUUUGAAUUCUUAUUUUUUUUAGUUCCAGGAACAUGUUAAUAAAAAUCCAUUUUGACUCUUUGAAGGUUGCUCAUGACUUCUUCAAUUCACUUCCAGGGAAGAGGCCUGAAAAAGUCAAGAUUAUAGUUUCUUCACACAACUAUGAAAGAACUCCAUCGGUCAAGGAAUUAAGUCACCUUGUUGCGAGAAUACAGGCUACCGGAGCUGACAUAGUGAAGAUCGCAACAACUGCCGUAGACAUCAUAGACAAUGCUAGAAUAUUUCAAGUGCUUGUACACUCCCAAGUAAGUAAUCUACCAGAGCUCCUGUUUGCAAUUACUUUAACGAUGCUUCCUGUUUUACGGAAAAACCCGAACUGUUUCUUAGUUUGAACAUAUCGUUUUUCAUUAUUACUCCUAAGAAUUUGUGUUCUUACAAUCUUUCCUACAUUGUGAAUGACAAUGUCAGCUGAAUCUGUAGGUUCCAAUGAUAGGACUUGUUAUGGGAGAGAGGGGUUUGAUGUCGAGGAUCCUUGCUGCUAAAUUUGGGGGAUUUCUCACUUUUGGUUCACUCGAGGCAGGACUAGUAUCGGCCCCUGGGCAACCAACUGUGAAGGAAUUAUUAGAUUUAUACAAUAUGAGGCUUAUAGGACCUGAUACCAAAGUCUAUGGUGUUAUCGGAAAUCCUAUCGGUCACAGCAAAAGUCCUCACAUCUACAAUGCUUCAUUUAAAUCCUCCAGUUUUAAUGGAAUAUAUCUACCUUUAUUGGUUGACGAUGUCUCAACUUUUAUUACCACUUAUUCAGCCCCCGAUUUUGCUGGAUACAGGUAAAGAAAAAUCUGCUUAAGCGUCUACCGUAAGUAUAGUAUCAUUUUUUCUGAAAAUAAUAGUUUUUUCCUUCCGAAAUGCAGUUAUACCAUUCCUCACAAGGAGGCUGGACUUAAAUGCUGUGAUGAGGUUGAUCCCAUUGCCAAGGUACUUUGUCCCUGUUUGGAUUCGGGUUGUUAGUAUUAUGUUCCCUCGUGUCAUCAAGUUUCAUCUUAACAUGUUGAGCAAGGUGUUGCAUAUCGUGUCAGAAUAGUACAUUUGACUCUUUUUUUUUUAUUCAUCAAAUUCCUUACAGGCAAUAGGAGCGAUUAGUUGUAUGAUCAAAAGAUCAACUGAAGGAAAACUGAUUGGUUAUAAUAUCGACUACCUUGGUGGCAUUGCAGCUAUUGAAGAAGAACUAAGAGGUUAAUGCAUUUACAAUAUUCGGUUUCUUCCAUCCCUUUCUGAACACAAUGAUUUAACCCGCACUUCUUUUCCCCCUUCUCUGCAGUAUCAAAUGGUGCAACCCUUGCAUCCGGUUCGCCAUUGGCUGGUAAAACAUUUGUCAUAAUUGGAGCCGGUGGUGCUGGAAAAGCACUGGCUUAUGGAGCAUAUGAAAAAGGAGCUCGAAUCGUUGUUGCCAAUCGCACAUACGGUAAGGGUCUCAAAAUAGGUAUAUCAUUCAUUUCAUGAUAUGAUGGCUUUUUUAUGUGGUAAGAAUCUUUAACACUGAUAUAUCAUUAUGUUCUAUGACAUAUUCUCAGAUUCGGGUGUAAGUGUCUUAUGUGUAUCUCAAUCCAUUUUUGUCAUUUUUAAUACAGUGGCAUUAGUGAUUUGUUUCUCAUUGACUACUAAGGAUGAUCAUGUUUUCUUCUGAAUUCCAGACAAAGCUAAAGAACUCGCUAGCAAAGUCCGAGGACAAGCACUUACUCUUGCUGAGUUAAAUGAUUUCUGUCCUGAAGAAGGGAUGAUCCUCGUUAACACGACACCUGUUGGAAUGGAACCAAGAAUCGAGGAGACACCAGUGUCCAAGGUUUGCCUCUUUAAUUUUUGUUCCCAAACAUGGUUCUUACAAAAGCCUCACAAAUGGAUAAACUGGUUCACCGGGAUUGAACCAUAUCCAUUACUUAGUAUCAAUGUCCUCCAAUGUAUAGAUUAGGCUGAAACUGAAAUGCACUGAAACAACAAUAUCAUAUUCAAUUAACAUGAGGUAUUAUUUGCCUAUGAUACUCAGACUUUGGUGUAAGUAUUGGACACAGUCUAAGUUUUUCCAUGUAGUUAGAGGAUAUAACUUGCAUCAAAGCCAUUUUAGUCUUUCGCUGUUCAGACUCUUCGGAAUUCAGAUCCAUAAAAGCAUAUUUUCCAACAUCUAUAGUAAAAAUAGCCAAGUUUGACACAGUCUCUUUUUUUCAUGGCAGGAAACUUUGAAACACUACUCGUUGGUGUUCGAUGCUGUUUACACACCAAAGUUAACCAGACUCCUAAGAGAAGCAAAGCAAUCUGGUGCUACUAUUGUGUAUGGAACAGAGAUGUUUAUCAACCAAGCAUUUAUACAAUUUGAGAUGUUCACCGGUUUGCCUGGUAAGACGAUGCCCUAUGAUUGACCCGAUUUGAGAAUUAUCUGAUAUAUACCCCCAAUGCCCUAUGAUUGAUCGGAUUCGAGAAUUCUCUAUCCCUAUUGUUUUUUAGUACUAAUCUAUGCAUACCCUUUGUUCUUCUAACAAUAUUUUUCCAUUAAUCACAACUCGAGAUGAUCACUGUUUUGUCUGGUAAGAUGAAUCGGCUGAUUGAUCGGAUUCAUGAAUUCACUAUCCUGCAUACCAAUUGCCUCUUCUAAUGAUUUUUUAUUUUCAAUUUAUCUGUUGCAGCACCAAAGCAACUCAUUAGGGAUGUAUUGGCAAUAACUACAUAAAAAGAAGGAAUAUUUCUUAUUGCAGCUCAACCGAAGUUUUUCAAGGGGUUUUCAUGUGAUCAAGCUCAACCCCUUAUUCUUUGACAAGUUUUUUUUUUUUUAAUAAAUAUAUUUGGUCAUAAUUUUGAGAGAAAGUGUAAGCAUUUUCUUCUUUUGGCUCAGUUUGUAAUCGUAUCAUGAAAAUUAACUUCAAAAGAAAUUACUUAUGCAUUUGCAUUUAAUCCAUCUCUAAUUUUAAUCCUGUGUUAGGAUGGAAAAAAUUAGUAAAUAUUGGGUUUAAGGCUAAGCUUAUGUCAUGUUUUAUAAUAUUUUUUGGUAUUUUUAAUGUCCGUUUUUCGGCCCAUUUUCGAAGUUCGUGGCUACCCUUUCUAAUAAUGUUAUCUUCAAAAUUCGAACAUGUGUCUUCCCUUGAAAAGUGUAAUGUAUCUUACUACUACAACUAACAUUUGUUAGUAUUAAAUUGUUUUUUUUUUUAUUAAGGAAGGUAAAGGUUAUUACAUAACAUUCAAUCUAGGAAAAGAUAAAUCUCCUCAUGUUGCACAUUCAAAGCAAAAUUAGGAGGUUGGGAUCAAGAGUAAAAGUCAAAAACCAUUCUUUUUGCAGCCUUUGCCAAGCAAUCAUCCUAUCACAUUCUCGAUGCACAUGCCUAAUACCAAUAUCUCAAUCUUGACACAACAUGUCUCGGAUGGCGUGAUAUAUGAAUCUGGUUGUUGUAUCAUCAGAGUACCCUUAACAUGAUUCAAAGCUUUCAAACAAUUUGUUUCUAACAACACAUCACAACAACCAUGGAUAUCUCGAAACAUUAUCAAGAUUAUCCAAUUGAAGAGUCAUUGAAUCAAUUCAUUCAGACAGUACUGGCCCUAAAGAUUUGGCACGACCUUAUUUUUUCUGCACUUUAAACCCACACUUAGUUAUCUCAUGUGUAGACGUAUCAACCCUCCUCAUUGCAUGCAUGAGAUCUUUUGAAGAAGAAGCAAUAGAGUGGCUCACAUAAUGGGUAUGACCCACUAAGAUGUUGUCAUCCUCAAUGGUCACAGUUGUGUAAUUCGAUUUUGGUAAGGUAAUAGCGCUAACAUUGACUGGACUAAAACUAGGUGGGAACCAAGGCCUAUUUCCCUUACUUUCUCUUAUGCCCACCUCUUUGGAUAGGUCUUUCUCAAGAGAAGAUUGUGGCUCUUUUCUAUUAGCCUUCAUGAUUGGCCCACCAUUAAUUUUUCCUCCACAUGAAUCCUUCACCAAUCCCUCAAAAAUUGAUCCCUUCAAGAUCUCUCGCCUUGAUUCUUUUCUUUUUAAAUUCGCCUUAAUUUUCGUUUGAGAAUAUUCAACUUCUUUAUUUUUCGUUUCAGAAUAUUCAAUUUCCUUAUCAAAAACAGUUUCAUUCUCUUCACUAUUAUCUUCCAAGAUUUGGAAGCGUGAUUUGCUCACUCCCUCAACUAACGGUUGGUCUUGUUUUCCUUUCAUAGUAGACUUUCCAUAAAUAUUUGGUUUUCGUCUAUGGGUCGGAGCUUGCAUCCAAGGUCCGUAUAGAGGAAUUGAAUCCUUCACAGCACCCGCAAUUGUAGCCAUCACAGUAUCAAUAGUCAGCACCACCAUUGGCUCCGUCGAGUCCACAUAUUUUCCGUUCUUUUGUUGUUUCGAACAACUCUCCUUAGUGUGCCCAUAACAACUACACUCGUAACAACAGAUGACAGACAACCCCUCGUACUUCAGAUAUUGAACAUGACCAUCAAUACCAACACAAGAAAUUAAAGGUUUUUUCAGAUCAACCACCACUGCCAAGAGAGCAAAGCAACCCCUCUUUGCUUCUGUCGUGCUUCUGUCGUGUUAUAAUCAACUUUUAAAAUCUUUCCGAGCACUUUGGAGAUGACUCUCAACAAAUCUUUAGCAUAGUAUCAAUAUGAGAGUCGAGGAAACCUUAUCCAAACCACCAUCUUUGAAGGAUAAUUUUCACUUGUUGUGAAAUCUCGGCUCCAUGGUUGUACCACAAGAUAAUGUCCAUAAAUCAUCCAUAGCCCUCCUAUCAGAGCAUUAUCAUAGUCCUUUUGAUAUCAGAGUCAACCACUUGGAAUCUCCCAGUUAAACGUCAUAAAGACUGUAGACGACCUACCAAAGCUUUGUAGCCAAUAUUUUUUUUUCAAAGAGAUGCAUUACAACUGUCUUAACCAUACUUCCUAUCAAUCCAUUCAUGAAUCCACUUGGAAAAAGUAAUCUCAGGAUACUUGCCUUCGAUACUAAUCGUGUAGUCAUCCUCCCAACUUCAAGUUCUGACUCCACAACCACUUCAUCCUUUAACCCCUAUCCUCCACAUUCCCUAUAAGUUUGUCUCGCUAUGAAACCUUUGAGAGGUCAUCUUCUAUUACCACAUCCUCUGAUUAAGGACCAUUAAGGGAUUUAUUUUUUACUUUCUUUGUGGCCAUUUCGAGGCCUUUAGGGACCGAAGACCCUGAUUAUUCCAACGAGGCAUAAGAGAAAGACUAUUACAGCAAAAGAUAACCUUAACAAUGAUAUUUUUCUAGUUAUUUUUUUAUUAUUUCUUGUUGUAGAAUUAACAAAUACUAAAUCCUUUUACAAAUUAACUUACCAUAAAAAAAUUAAACCACUCUAAUAUUAAUCACUAUAAAAACUCGAUUAUAAAAAUUCAAUUAAACCCGAAUAAGCCUAAAAAUAAAAAAAAUUAAGCCCAGCGUCGAAUCCAUAAUAAUCAUUAUUAAAAUAAAAUCGAAGUAAAAUCAAUUUAUGAAUCUGAAUCGCCACUAGCUUACGGUGUAGUGUGUACGUACUCCAAGCUCCUAAAUACUUGAAGAACACGCUUUCCAUUUCUCAUUCUGGGUUUUCUUUAUCUAUAUGUUAUUUUGAUGUUAAGAGCCUUCUCUUUAAAAAAAAAAAAAAACAUUCUCUCUUUGUUUAUAUUGUUUGGCUUUUGCGUAUCUGCGGUGAAUGGGGAUUUCUUUUUUUUGGUAAAUGGAGUUAUGGUUUUUCUUGGGGUAUGUUUGGUUCAUGAGAAAAUAACUUUAGGGUGCCUGUUUGAAAUUAUAUUCAAGUUUUUAAGAAUCAAUCAUAUCUGCUAGCUCUUUUGUUUUCAUUUUUCAUUUUUCUAGUGAUAAUAAAUGAGUGCUUGUUAAAGUCUGGAAUUGGUUUUGCUGCUUCACUUGUCUCUUUUGCCUAACAUUUUCUCAUUACCUAGCAAAAUUUAUACUUAUGUGGAUAUAUGUAAUGGGCCUAUAAGCUUGAGCUCAUGAAUGAAUAGUGAUAAGUUCGUGCUCUAAGUUUGACUUGAAAUUUAUUGUUUGAUACGCGGUUCGAACUUGAUUGAAUAUUACUUGUGAUUUGGGUAAAUUGUAUAUAUAUUUGGAAUCAUGUUGGAGGAUUUGAAGUUUGGAUUCUUGGUUUCUGGGUAAUUUUCUUAAAUCUUUGGAAUCGUAUCCACCAUGGAGUGCAACAAAGAGGAAGCUAUUAGAGCAAGGGGAAUUGCCGAACACAAGAUGAAAAACGAUGAUUUUGAGGGUGCCAAGAGGCUUGUACUGAAGGCCCAGAAGCUGUUCCCUAAGCUCGAAAACAUAGCGCAAUUGUUGACGGUAUGUAAUGUUCACCAUUGUGCAAAACUGAAAUUCAAUGGGUCGGAAAUGGAUUGGUACGGGAUUCUUCAGCUCGACCGAUCAGCCAACAUGAGUUCCAUCAAGAAACAGUAUCGAAAGCUCGCGCUGUUGCUUCAUCCAGACAAGAAUAAAUUCGCCGGUUCCGAGGCUGCUUUCAAGCUGAUUGGAGAAGCAAAUGCAGUACUUGCAGACCAAACGAAACGUUCCCUGUAUGAUAUGAAAACUGCAUCAAAGACUCCUCACCCAUCGAAUACCGCCAGUACCAAUGCAGGCCUAUCGAAAAGUUCUCAAUAUGAUACAAAACCUGCACCAAAGCAGACUCCUCGCCCGUUUAAUACCACCAGCGCCAAUGCUGACCGAACAAAAAGUUCUCAGUAUGAUACAAAACCUGCACCAAAGCCGACUCCUCGCCCGUCGAAUACCACCAGCGCCAAUGCAGACCAAACAAAAAGUUCUCAAUAUGGUACAAAACCUGCAGCAAAGUCGACUCCUCCCCUGUCGAAUACCGCCAGCGCCAAUGCAGACCAAACAAAAAGUUCUCAAUCUGAAACGGAAACUGCACUAAAGUCGACUUCUCACCCAUCGAACACCACUUGUGCCUGUGCAGACCAAACAAAAAGUUCUCAAUAUGAUACUAAAACUGCACCAAACCCGACUCCUCACCCAUUGAAUAGCACCAAUACCAUUGUUGGCUCUGCCGGUAGACUGUAUGAGCCUAGAAACAAUAACAAAAAUGGUUAUUCAAAUUUCACAUCUUCGAGUUCCUAUCAGCCAACAUGGCAUCAAACAUUUUGGCCACCCUGCAGUGUUUACCACCAUCAUUACAAUUUAGUGCACAGAUGGUUAAAUUGCCCUUCAUGUGGAUCAUUCAUUGGCAGUACUAACGUGGGUCCUCAGGGAUGCUGUUGGAGAGCCUAUGGUUUCCAGUUUCCACAUGAAUUUGCAGGGCCAGGUCCUAUUGCAAAGGCAGGAAGCGGCUCUGGGGUUGGUGAUUCUAAGGAAGAAGAGAUGGUGAAUGUGUUAAAGAAAUGUGUUGAAAUGGUUAAUUCAAAUACGAGAGAUUUACAGAAAAACAUUGACAUGCUUUGGUCUAACGUGAGAAACUUAAAGAAAGGCGUUGAAAUGCCGAAGCCAAAUGAGAAGAAAGGAGGAAGGGAGUGAUGAAAGUUGUAAGCUUUAUGGGCAGCGCAAGGUGCGGUUCAGGCUUUAAUAUAUAUAUAUAUUUUUUAUAUUUUGACUUAGGCUAGCUCCCAAGCCAUGUUAAAGGCCCUCGUCGCAAUGAAGUGGUAAAAACGUUGUCUGUUAGUUUUGUUUUAUUGCAACUUAAAUAUUUAAAUUUAGGAAACCAACUUCUUGCAUAGAUUUAUUACAUGUAUUUUAAAUUCAUCAAUUUUCGUUUUGAUGGAUCGUAAUAAUUAAAUUUAUUUUAUUAAUUUUUAUUAUUAAGUGUAAUAUUAUUGAUUUAAUUUAUAUUCUUCAAAUAAAUUAUUUAUAGGCAUUAUAUUUUUUAAUUUCAAAAUUUUAAUCUUAAUUAAUAAAUUUAUUUUUUGAAUAAUAGUUGGCAUUCAUUAGAAAAUAUAGUGGGGGACAACCACUCUGCAAGGGGACUAAAUCGUUCCAUCCAGUCAUAAAUGAAACAUUCAUCUAAUCUGAGAGACCUUGUCCCCUAAUCAAAGCCUGUGAGUAAUAUUAUACAUGUGAUAAUAUGUUUGGCACAUUAAAUUUUAGAAAUAAGGUGAGGCUUAAAUUUAAAAUGUCAAACAUGGUCACAAAUAAAUUACAAUUUAAUAUUAGUUUUAAUAAUUAGGAGAGGGAAAUGGGGUUGCUUGGGAUCGAACCUAAACUCUUAUGCUUACAACAGAAUGGUCUGGCCAUUGAAAAAGAGGUUGCUGACAACUUAAUAUUAGUUAAAUAUAAGGGAAUCAGUGAACCAAUGUUUAUUUACAUUUGGCUUGGCAUGUAAAAACCGUUGAGAACAUAAUUGAUGCGCUGGAGAUUUGCUCUCCAACUGAACCACUUUAAUUUUCUAUCCAUUGUGUAAAGUGUUUACUACAAAUAGAAAAUUUGUUAUUAAUAUUGUUAGAAUUGUGUGACUCAAAUUCUUGUGAAAAUAAGAUAUAAGUGGCAAGAUAGGAGAUUUACAAGUGGCAUUCGUAUAGAAGUUUACUUCCUUUAUUUGAUAUUGAUCAAAAUAAUGUGUUUUAACUUUACUAUAUUACUUUUAUUUGACUUUGAUUAGAAUAUGGUUUUAGAAAUCUAUAAAUAGACGUAGUCGUCUCUCCUCUUGUAUCAUUCGAAUUCAACAUAUUGAAUUAUCUUUUCUCCUACCCGUGAUUUUUUUCCUAAAAGGGUUUUCACAUAAAAUUAUGUGUGUGUUCUUUUUCUCUUUCCGAUUCUUAGCCAUUAUUGGCGAUCUAUUUUUUUACAAAUAUUAUGGGAUAAAUCCCAAAAUUAUACAUAAACUAUGGUUUAAUGUGCAAUUGUAUACAUGAAUUUUGAUUUAUGCAAUUUUAUACAUGAAAUUUUAAUUUGAUCCAAUUCUUGUAAAUUAUUAACACAAUUAUUAAUGUAACAUCAUUUUUUUAUUAUAUAUUAUAUAUAUAAAUAAUUAUAUUUAUUCAAUGUAAAUAAAUUAAUGUAUUUAUUUCUUUAAAUGUGCAUGUUUAAAUCAAAAUUAAAAUUUCAAGUAUAUAUUUGAAUCACAAUUAGAAUUUCAUAUGUAUAAUUGCACCAUAUUAAAAUUCAUAUAUAUAACUGCACAUUAAAGUUUUUGUAUAAUUUUGAUAUUUAUUCCUAAUAUUAUUUGCUAUUAUGAUUCAGAAUUUUUCCUUUUUCUUUAAGAGUGAUAAAGUGGCUUAUUUAUUACUAUUAGAAUACAGAUAAAGUUCAUUUAAUGUUUUCUUUUUUGAAUUUUUUAGAUUUUUAUAUUUAAACCAAUCAAAUUGAGAUUGAACCAAUAAUUUGACUAAUUCAAUCAUCGAUCCAAUUCAAAAGCAUUAUUUUUGAUUGAGUAUGCCAAGAAAGAGACUUGAUGGUAGAUAAUUAGCUAAGGUGGUGCUUGCUAGGCGGAUGUAAUGAAACGACGAUGGAGUGGAGUGUGGAAGCUGUAGGUGUCGAGGGAUGGUGAUUGUAGGUGUAUGGACUUGGGGAGAGUAGCAGUAGAGGUGAUUGUUGUCAAUGGUGAUGGAAAGAGAGUACUAUAGGGUUCAAUUUUUUUAAUAUUAAUUUUUUAAAAAGUCAAUAAUAUGAUAAUCUACGCUAGAAAUAUGUGGCAACACAUAAUGAUAUAUUCAAACUAGUUUUUUUGAAUUUCAAUCAUCAUUACAGGUCUCUAAAUAAUAACUAAAAUGGUUUUUCGAAUUUGGCAGUUUCAAAUUUCUAUCAACCGCAAUUCCAGCAAACAUUGUGAUCAUCCUUCAAUAAUUCUAAGAAACCAGAGGAAUAUUCUCGAUAUGAUAUAAAAAUUGCACUAAAGCCAAAAGCUCGCCCAUGGAAUAACCCCAGCACAUCCUCUAUUGGAAAUCAGUGUAGGUCUACAAUAAGAUGAUUUUUCGAAUUUCGCAACUUCAAAUUCCUAUCAGCUAGUAUUCCAUCAAACAUUUUGGUCAUCCUUCAAUCCUUCUAAGAAAUAAGAGAAACGUUCUCGACAUGAUAUGAAAACUGCAUCAAAACCAAAACUUCACCCAUCGAAUAACCCCGGCGCUUCCUCUGUCGGUAAUGACCAGUACAAGCCUACAAGCAAUAACCAAAAUGGUUUUUCGAAUUCCUAUGAGCCGGCAUGGCAGUGAUUCUAAGAAAUAAGAGAAAGUAAACGAGUUCUCAAACGUGAGAGGCGAAAAGAAAGGUAAUGAAAUGCUGAAGUUAGAGGUGAGAGACUUGCGAGAAGGCAUUGAAAUGCUUAAGUCAGAGGUGGGAGACAUCGAGAGAGGUGUCGAGAUACUUAAAUCCUAUGGGUGGGGGAUUCCGAAACAUGCCGAUAAGAACAGAGGGAGGGAGUACGUGGGCAAGGUGCAGUUUUAGGGGUUAAUGCUUAAACCUUUUGUCUGUUGUUUAAGAGCUUUCCUUUUUGAGUUUGUUUUAGCACAUAUUUGAAUAUCUGCAGAUAUAUAAUUUACUUUUUACGAAUUCAGAUAUUACAGAUUCAGAUCAUAUUUAAAUUCAGAUACGUAGAAAUUAAAAUGACAUUCAGACAACACUUGCAAGAAAGAACAGUUAAGUAAAGCUUACAUUCCAUUGAUGUAUGAAAGUGAUGAUGUUCCUCCAAAAAACAAAGUAAUAUACACAAAAAGGGGCAAAAAUAAAACGCUGUUCUCAAUUUUACAUUCUAGUCAAUUUCCUCCAUGAAAAAACAUGAAAACCUGGACUCGAACAAGGUCAACAACUUUUAGUAUAUCAGGACUAGCAAUAGAAAUUUUAACACAGAAGAGAGAGCAGAUUACGUAUCCGAAAGCAUUGUCAUGGUUUGUAAUACACUACCUGAUUAGUAUGUUCUUUUUCUACGAUUGAGCUUAGUUCCAUAAAGCUCUGACCUAGGAUGAUGCUGAAAAGGAUGAUCUAGCUGAAGAAGAUUCUCCCAAAGAGACGGAUGCUAGCGAAGAAGCCCAAACACGGGCACUCUUCGCACCUUGCUGAAAAUUCUGGGUCUUGCAUAGCCUCAGUUUGGUCCAAACCCUCCGAACAUCGACCAUGUGAAGGGCUCGCACAAACAAUUGACUCGUCUCACCGAAUAUUUCCAAGUUAAAUUGCGGAGCAUAUGAAACCCAAACAGCCUUGAGACGAGACAAUACUUUCGGAAAUACAAGUAAAAUUCCUCUUAGACAAAGAAACAACAAAGCAAAUACUAAGUAGGGCUCCUGUUUUACUAUCUCCAUCGGAGACGAUUCCUUCCACGACUUUAUCAUGUAUUUAUUGUGGUCACCAGAUACAUCGGAUUCCUUUUGAGCAACGAAUUGAACAGGUUCAAAUCCUGAAAUCCAGGCACUAAUGUUAAGAAAAAUGUGAUAAUGUUCAACUCGCAAACGCAGGUUCCUUUUCGAGCUAAAACUCCAUUAUGCUUUUAAAAGGAAAAAGUGGAAGAGUUUAGAUCUUUGGCAUCGGAGAGUAAAUACCUGUUGUUUUCUCAUAAAAUUGUACAAUCGAGAGAAGAUCUUUUGGUCCAUUAUAUCGUACCCUUGAUGUCCGGUUCACAAUUAAAAUUGAAGGCAAGCUAUGGAUUCCGUACCUCGAUAAUAUACUGUGAUGCAACACGAAUCAGAGAUAUUAGUUAAGGAAGUUGUCAUUAGAUUUCUAGAGGUAGCAAAAUAACAAUUUAUUGGAACAACUGUCUAUCAUGUAUAAAUCACAAACCAUAUCUAACACUCACACCCGAGUCCGAGUAACAUUGAUUUGUAAACUGGUAAUACAAUUGAAUAUGUGCAAACACAUAAUUUUUAAAAGAAGCUUUCGAGUAAAUUUGAUCAUGAUGCACCAAACCAACACUGUAAAACUGACUUGAUCUUAAGGAUUCAAACAUAAAGGAGACCAAUUUGUAGCAUGUUCAAUGCUGUGUCAAACACAAAAAGCAGCACAAUUCUAACACCUAAUUUUUUGUUCUCCUUAUAGCAUUUAUCCAAAAACAUGCCCCCAUUAACGUGAAACAGUUAUUUUAGUCGAGAAAAAAUAAAUAAAAAAAGAAAAACAAUUCAAUAAUUCAUGAACAAACACUAACGAUGAAAGCCGGAUAAAGUAGCCACACACCUUGGUGAAGUUGAAGACUGCUCAACUGCCAGAUGCUCUAUUUGAGGAAACAUGGAACUGAGAAUGUCAAAUUUCGGACACAAACCAUGUGAAAACGGGCACCACGAAGCGUAAAAGAGCACAGAAGUAUAACCAUUUUGCUGUUUGGAGGUCAAUUGUCUGUCAAGGAAGUCUCCAUUAACCUGCAAACAGACAUAAGAUGUUAUCAGAAUGUUUGUCCAUGAGAUAUUGCAAGUCAUGCAAAAUUCGUAAUCCUCGAAACAUAUCUUACAAUCAGAUGGAACAAUUAUCUAAGCUAAAUUAUGGGAAAGAUGGAAAUUUUUUACUAACAUAAAUGUGAUGAUUAGAAGAGACUUGGCAAGGAAACCGCAUGAACCCUAAACGGAUAAGUAGAAAGUAAACAAUGCCCUUGAAGAAAGGAAGUAAUGGGUAUGGAAUGAAGAGGGAGAUAUAUCCUAUCCCUCAUUCGACUUUUGAGUUUCUAGCCACAUCAAAGUUGAGAACAUCUUUGUCUCAUAAAAUCAGCCCCAUUUGAAAAUGCACAACUUAUUUUUGCAAACCAAUGGAAGUUUAGGGAGUAAAUUACGGUUUUAAACAAUACUAAUUUUUGAAAUAGCUAACUGGAAAGUUUUCCAUACUUUCAAUAGUGCAGAGAAUUUAACUAACUAUAGCAUCACAUGGUAGACAAGCUUAUGACCAACAAGUGUAGGGUGAAAUGGUAAGACACGCUAUACUCUCAGGGAGAGAACUCAAGUUCCAAUUCUGAAGAUGACAUUGUGGGGAGGGCUAGCCACGAACUCCGAAAGGAUUAGUCUUCAUGGACUGUAAAACGGACAUGGAGGAUACUUCGGUCACACCAAAAGAAACAUAAUGCUAAAAAUUGGAGCAUGCAUUACUCAAAUGAUUAAACACUGGUUGUAUCACAUACAAAGGUUUAGCAUAAGGUACUUGGAUAAGAUACAUGCUUGCCGAGGCAAUGUUCUCAUGGAUAAUACAUGCUCCUAUACCAUCCUAGAAAAGUACUCUUGAAAGAAGAAAUGUUCGGAGAGAGGAAAAACGUGGAUAUAUACAAUAUGAGCCUAUGGACAUCAAUAAAUCUCCCUUUCAAACCAGUAUUUGGAGAACAAAGAAGCCUAACCUAAGGAUUCUUAUGAUUCUUACACCAACCGAUAUGAGAAUCGCCUACGAACACAUUCGAUGUUUAAUAUCUCCAAUCAAAGCUUUGCAAUACAGAUAAAAAUACAUUUCACUAAUCCACCUCAUACCGCUAAUGAAUUGCGUAAAGCUUAAAUCCUAGAGCGUAAGACUUAAGCAGUGUCUUAAUCGUACAACAUAGCCCAAAAAGCCUACGUUGCUAUGACUCUUUGUUUUGCUUGAAGUACUCUUAUUAGACACAUAUAGGUACAUGGAUAUAUGAAUAUGAUCUUUAAGGACCCUCCAAAUAAAAAUAUAGAAAAUGAAAAUGAAUAUACCCGUAUCAGACACAUAACUGAUCCAACUAACUUGGCUAAUAGCCAUGAAAUUACUAGGUACUAUUGGUUUCAACUAAAUAUAUUCAAUUCAAAUCUUCUAGAAGAUACUAAAUAUAUUCAAAGUCUUCAAACAAGAUUAGAUUAUAUAAUGAAAUUUUCAUAAAAUUUGCAGCUUUCUUUCUAUUUUCUCUGCUUUAUUUGAUUUUUACAUAUUAAAUAAUACCAUUAAAACCCAAUACCCUCCAACCAUUAAAAAGUCAACCAUAAACCUUUCUUCUGAUGCUUCAAAAUUUUACAGCUAUGAAAAAUUCCAGAAUGACACCCUAAUAAUUCAGGCUGAAAAUCCAAGUUCUCAUACAAAUUUCUCUUCUUUUAGCAGAAUUAGGCCAAAUCAUAAAUAACUAGAAUCAAAUUUUUAAAAUAAAGAAAUAAAAACAAUCACCCAAUGAAAAAUUAAAAUUAAUGCCAAGAACCCAUUUUUCUAAACCAAUUCACAAAUCAAUAAAUAUAUAUAUAUAUAUAUAUAAACAAAAAAAAUCAACUAAAUCAAGCUAAAAAAAAUACCUUGAGAGGGGGAAUUGGAGAGAUCGAAGGAGAGCAUUGAAAGUGAAUAUUUUUAAUGAACACAUCAGCUUCAUGGGAGCAAAUAGAAGAACCCAAAACACAGCGUAUUGAACAAAAGACUGUUAUAUAGAAGAACAGAAGAAGAGAGGAAGAUGACGAUGAUGAUGAUGAAGAAAAACCCAUUUUGAAUUUCAUUUAUAAAAUUAAAAAAGAGAGAAAAAAAAAGAACAGAAAAUUCACAAUAACAAGAAGAUGAAGCAGAAGAAAAUGGGAAAAUUGAUAUCCAGAAAAAAAAGUAAAAAUUAAAAGAAAAUUAAUAUAAAUUUUGGGAGAAAGGCAGGGAAGGUGGUAGCUGUGUGCUAUUUUUUUCGUAGUGGGUAAAAAGAAAAAAAAUCUAAUCUUUGGCCAAGCUUGGUUGGCUGUUAAUUUUAUUAAAUGAAAAAGAAAAAAGAAGGUUUAAAAUUUGGACUUUGGGGAUUAUGAAUUUGGAGCAGAUAAAAUUAAAGAUUAUUUAUGAUUAAAAUUGAUGAGUGAUGACGAAUAUGAUGAUGGUGGAUGGGUUGGUGGUGGGUGUAAAGACUACCACAGAGGUUUUGCUUAGGUAAACAAAUAUUAAGGAAAAAAGUGUAGAAUAUUUCCUGUUUUGUUAAACUGUAGAAAUAAUAAUAAUUAAUAUUUUUAGUAAUUUAUUUUUUAAACACCAUUGAUAACUGUCAAAAUAUUAAGGAAGCCUCGGUAUUUAAGGGUGAAUUAGAUUUUGGUCUCUUUAUUGAAAAAUAUAUGAAUUAGUUAUUAUACAUUUUGAAAUGAAUUAAUUUGUACAUUUCGAGAUACAUUAAGGUUAAUCUAUCUUCUUCUUUUUUAAUAAAAGAGUCGAAAUACAUUUCACUCCUAAGUAUAAGGCCUUCUUAAUAUUUUUAGCUAGACAAAUUUUUCUUAAAAAAUAUAUAUGGAAAUGAAUAAGAACGUAUUUAUCACUUAAUACCCAAUAUGUUUCUUUGUUUUUUAUUUUAUUUUAUUAAGAUUAUAUUAUUUUUAACAAAUAUUUUAAUUAUAUUUCAUAUUUAAUUUUAAAUAAUAUACUAAACAGGUUUAUAAAUAGAAUUUAACACUUAAUUUUGUCUUCUUCUUUUUUUUUGCACUUAAUUUUUCGAUCUAUCCAACUAAGAAAAAUAUUUUAUGUGAUGGACUGGAUUAUUAUUUAUUUAAUUCAUUUUAGUUGGGUUGAAAAAGUUUAUUUUAUUGUUUUGAAAAAUAAUUAAAAUAUUGCUUUUUUAUAUUAAAUAGAGAAAUGUAUAUUUUAAUGGACAAUUUACACAAAAAAGCCAUUUUUUAAAAAAAUUAUCGAAAUGGGCCUAUUAUUUAAUUUUUUACCGGAAUGGUCUAUUUUUCGGAAAAUCGCGUCCACGUCAGCGCGAUGUCAGGGGACGCGCAUGAACAGUGCUGCAACGGUCAAAAAUUUGACCGUUGCCCCUCCCCCAACUGUCAAAAAAAACUAUAAAUACCCCCACCCCUUUUUUUCACAAACUAAUCCUCUCUCAAAUUUCCUCUCAAUUUCCUCUCAAUUUCCUUCCAAAAUUCUCUUAAAUCCAUAUUUAAUUUCAAUUUUCUCUCAAGUUCCUCUUAAAUUUCUCUUAACUCCCUUUUUUUAAAUAAUUUUAAAAAAAUUUAAAAUUUUUUUAAACCGUAAAAAUUUGUACGAUUUCAGCAAUGGCCGGAGAAUUGACUCGUCUUGAUAGGCAUCACAUAUCAGUGGAACAAUUGAAAAUGGUAAGUAUUAAAAUUAAUUUUUAAAUAUUAUUUAAGAAUUUUUUAUUUAUGCAUUUUUAGAUAAUUAUUAAUUUAUUAUUUGUUAUAAAAGUCUGUAGAUCGGGUAUUGGAAUGCAAUAUCUGGAAUAUGCAUGGUCCUCCAUCACCGUUGGUAGAGAACUACCUGCGGGAAGCGGGUUUUUGGCAUGUGGCGACGGUAGGCCGGGGAUACAAGGUGGACCCGAAACUAAUCAGUGCGUUAAUCGAGAGGUGGAGACCCGAGACGCACACAUUCCAUCUUCCAUGUGGAGAGUGCACUAUCACUCUAGAAGAUGUCAGUCUACAAUUGGGAUUGCCGGUGGACGGGUACCCAGUCACCGGGUCUGCCCAAUCUAGCGAUUGGGGGGCGGUGUACUACGAGCUUUUGGGCGCUAUUCCGGAGAAAAUGGAGGGAGGUAAGAUCGAGAUUGACUGGUUACGUGACACAUUUCUUGAUCCGGAUGAAGAUUCAACCGAAAUUGAAAGAAUCCGAUAUGCUCGGGCAUACAUUCUUCAAUUAAUUGGAGGUUAUCUGAUGUCUGACACGUCACGGAGCCGCGUACAUCUAAGAUGGCUGCUGAAACUCGUUGAUUUUAGAGCAGUCGGUGAAUUGAGUUGGGGGUCUGCCGUCUUGGCAACGUUAUAUGGGGAGAUGCGCAAGGCGACGAGACCGAGGAGAGUAAAAAUCAGAGGUUGCCUGUCACUACUGCAGUCAUGGGCACGGUUUCGCUUUCCAUUUCUACGUCCUCGAAUGGACCACCCAUAUAUAUUCCCACUCAUAACGAGGUAAAUUUUAUAUUAGAUUUUACAAUUAUUAUGUAGAUUUUUAAAAAUAAAAGUAUGCUAAAAAUUUAUUUAAUUAGGUGGAACCAUCCGGCAAGUCAUGCUCGAUUACCUACCUCUCUUGAAGAUAUACGGCUUCUAUUGGACCAACGGUCGGAAGCACAAGUAAGUAUUAAAUAAAAUAGAUAUUUCCAUACAAGUAAUUAUGUAUAUAACUAAUAUUUCUAUCAUGUUCAUAUAGUUUCAAUGGACACCAUACGAGGAUCCGGCAAUUCGGGCUGUAAUUCCGGAAGAGUUCUUACAAAAUCCACAAGCUUGGCACGUGAAAGUCGUGUUGAUCAACUACGCAACCGUGGAGUCGCACUAGUCAGACAGAGUGCUACGGCAGUUUGGAUGUAGACAACUGAUUCCCGUGGAUCCUGAGGUGUUUGACGAUCAACACAAAGUCGACUUUCGGCAAUUGAAUACGAAUUGGCCGAGAUACUGGUUCGAUUACAUGGAAAUGUGGGAAGAUCGGUAUGAAUAUAUACCUACUCAGGAACCAAUCAUCGUUCCGAAGUUAGCGUGCGUUCCAGAAUACAUGCCAUGGUUUAGGAUCCAUGGCAAGCCGUAUUUACUGACGCUAGAGGAGAGGCAGCGGCAAAUACGUGUCGAAAGGAAAAGGCGCGGGCCUCUAAAUCCAAGACGACAAGACGUCGAAGGCAGCCCCUCAACGAGGCCUAGACAUUCACCCGGCUCAUCAUCAGCGGCUAUGCAAUCACCAGGCCCAACGAGAGCACCGACACAGUCACCCGACGCAGCAGUUCAACCGGUGAUACCCACGCAACCGCCUUUUCAGAUGAUUCCAGGUGCGUUUCCUAACCCUUAUAUGUAUCCUUUUCCAAGUUCUAUGGCAGCGUACGAGGUCACCUCACCGGUUGACAUCGUAGGGAGUACAUCAUCCCUUCUUCUGGGCUUUUGAUAACGUCCCCAAUUGGAUGUAGAUUGUCAUCCACUAGAACUUGAUGUUGUUCCCCAGUACGUAUUUCCAGCAUCAAACAUCGAGCCACCGACGUACAUGUCCCAUCCAUCGACAGAGUGUCUUGCAGGGGAUGUGCAUUCAACACCGCUACCAAACAUGGGCUGUUCCGUAUUUUGUAACCCGCUAACCGAGUGACAGCUAGGGGUCGUGUAUACAUCUCGAACACCAGUCGCAAGUACAUCAUUUGGCGAUGUAAAUUGUACAUAUAACUCAAUAUAAGGUGCUCCACUAGCAAGAUGAGUCUGCACCAUUGCCUCCAAGCUACGAGCACCUUUUAUGUCGAACGAGUCAUAUGUCACCGGAUUAACAGAAGAACAAAAUCGAUACGUGAUAGACAGAACUUUCAUUGGCGUCGUUCCGAAAAUUUUACGCCUAAUUCUUUUACGAAGUUCUGUCAAAUCUAUGUUCUGGUUAAAAACCAGUCGCACCGUAUUCUCCGACAAAAAAACAACACCAUUCCCGGUGUGGCAAACCUCACCAUCGUAGUAAAUAACAACACUAAUAUGUUCACUCAUAUUUGAAACUCUAACCUUCUUAGCCUCUCUAAAUUAUUUCUGUUGUGACUUAUGCAUUCUGAGAACAUUUUCUGCCUAAUUUAUAGCCUCAGCCCAAACAUGCUACUGUAGCAAAAACGCGUCCACGAGGGCGCGAUUUCACAAAUUCUUCUCAAAUAGCAUCCUGCUAGAAGCGAUUUUAUACUAUUUGCUCAGAAACGUCAAAAAAAUUAUUUCUUCCAUGACCUACUGUAGCAAAAGCGCGUCCACGAGGGCGCGAUUUCACAAAUUCUUCUCAAAUAGCAUCCUGCUAGAAGCGAUUUUAUACUAUUUGCUCAGAAACGUCAAAAAAAAAUAUUUCUUCCAUGACCUACUGUAGCAAAAGCGCGUCCACGAGGGCGCGAUUUCAUAAAUUCUUCUCAAAUAGCAUCCUGCUAGAAGUGAUUUUAUACUAUUUGAUCACAAACGUCAACUCAAAAUUAUUUCUUCCAGGACCUAAAAACCCUAAAAAGCCUGAACCCUAAACCCUAAAAGCCAAAAAAACCUAACGUGGAAAAAACGAUAAAAUCGCAUCCCCCGGAACACGCUACGUGGCAUGAAAUCGUGGCCACGUCAGUAAAGCGCGCUGACGUGGCCGCGACUUGUUGGCGCGUCCCCUGACAUCGCGCUGACGUGGACGCGAUUUGCUUGAAAAUGAAUCAUUCCGGUAAAUAAUUAAAUAAUGGGCCCAUUUCGGUACUUUUUUUAAAAAAAAGGGCUUUUUUGUAUAAAUUGCCCUAUUUUAAACUCUCAACUUGAUAACUUGUACAUAAUUACUUUUUUUUUUUUGAUUUAACUGAUACCUGAAUUUAAAAAUAGUUAAUCAAGUUGAUAUUUCGAAUCUUGAAUUUACAAAAGAGGGUUGAUUUGUUUUCUUCUGGGUUUAAAAGCUUUUCUAUUUUCUUUUAUUAUAAUAAUUUUACUUUUACAAAGUAACAAAUAUUAAGGUGUAAUUUUUUUAUAUUUUUAAAUAAAAUAUUAUUAUAAUAAUAUUUGAAUUUAAAAUAUUCUUUUAACUUAAUCAUUUUUAAAAUUUAAAUUUUUUUAUAAAUAUAAAUUUUACCUAAGUAUUCGCAUUUACAAUGUAAAUGUGUUAUAAUCUAAUCUUUAUUCAUAAUAAUUUUUAAAUAUUUAUGUUUGGUAUUUAUCUCAUAUAAAUAUUAAAAUAAAAAUAUAUGGUCCCAUCUUUGAAAUAAAAGAGAAAUUAAAAAAAAAACAAGGCACAAAUUUUCAUAUCUAAUAUUUACUCUUGAAUGCAAAUAACAUAAAAUUAUAUAUUUUUUAUAAUAUAACUGCUACCUAAAAGUAAUGUUUUUUUCUAAAAUUAAAUCAGAAUUAUGAGUAAAAUUUUAUUUUAAAUCAUACGUCGGGCCAUUCAGCCAGGCUUGAAGGUUUAUCGGAAAAGUGAAAAGGUUCAAGCAAAAGUAUAGGCUCAAAAAAUAAGUUUGGACAAAAAAAUUUUGGGUAAAAUUUUUUGGCUUAGACUUGGCCCAAAUUUGCCUAAAAUUUUUUUUAUCUACUGUUGUUUUGUUAUUAUAUUGUUACUAUUUUAUUGUUAUUAUUUGGAUAUAGUGUAACUCUUAUUUUAUUGUUAAUUUUGUUACUAUUUUUGAGACUUUGGUUACUAAGUUGCAAUUAUCAUAGUUUUAUUUAAAUAUAAUUUUUUAAUAUAUUAUCAAUUUGUUGAGAAUAGUUAUUUUAAUAUUUUAGUGUAUUUGUUCUAUUAUAUUUUUUUCAGUUUGUUUUUAUAUAAAAAAUAAUACGGACGGGCCAUCCGGGCUCAAGUUUAGCAUUUUUUAUUUGGAUCGGACUUUGACAAGAUUUUAAACUCAUUUUUUGGGUCAAGCCUAAAAUUUUACAUCUGCCCAACCCAUAGUAAAGUCCAGUUUCUAAUUGUCAAGUAAAAUGUGUAACAGCCCAAAAUAGGGCCUAGUCGGAACAGUAGUUUCAAGACCAAAAACUCGAAGUAGAAAUAUUUAAUUUAUAAUUAUUUUAGAGUCUAUGAUAUGUUUGGGUGAUGGUGUGCAAAUUUUGUUAAGAAAUUUUAUUGAUAAAGUGCCCAAUUUUAUUAUUGGGAUCCAAUUGUAUUAAUUGCAAAAUAUGAGUUCUAGAACAUAAGUACUUGUUUUAAAUGGGGGUUUAAAUUAGAGGUCUUGAAAUGACAAAUAGACCAUCAUAUUUUGUUAUGGACAAAACUAGUCAUGGAAGGGUAAAAAUUGAAGGUAUAGUAAAAAGGGCAUUUUUGUCAUUUGGGUGUUUUAAGGCAUAAAAGACAAAAUUGAAACCCAAAAAUCUGCUCAUUCUUUCUCCAUGCUGCCGAAACUUUCAGCAAGCCAUGGCUAGGGUUUCAAGCUUUUUCAAAGUUCAAUUGUAAGUGCAUUUGAGCCCCGUUUUUAAUGUUCUUCGUAUUUUUGAGAUCCUAGAAGCUUAACCUUUCUAUUUUUACUAUUUAUUUGCACGAAAAAUGAAGUUUAAAAAUUGACCCAUGCUAGAUAUUUGUGCAUUUUGAUGUUUAAUGAUAGAAUAAGGGUGCACGAGGUUAGGAGAACGAUUUUUACUAAGUGAUUUUCGUUGAAAAUGGUUAAAACGGGUUAAUUAGUAAAAGUUGUAAAUGCUCCUAAAAGUUGUAAAUAAUAAGAAUUUGAGGUUGCUUUAGAAGAGAAAAAGGUUUGGCUGACCUUGAAUCCGCAUCCAUACGUAACAAUNNNNNNNNNNNNNNNNNNNNNNNNNNNNNNNNNNNNNNNNNNNNNNNNNNNNNNNNNNNNNNNNNNNNNNNNNNNNNNNNNNNNNNNNNNNNNNNNNNNNNNNNNNNNNNNNNNNNNNNNNNNNNNNNNNNNNNNNNNNNNNNNNNNNNNNNNNNNNNNNNNNNNNNNNNNNNNNNNNNNNNNNNNNNNNNNNNNNNNNNNNNNNNNNNNNNNNNNNNNNNNNNNNNNNNNNNNNNNNNNNNNNNNNNNNNNNNNNNNNNNNNNNNNNNNNNNNNNNNNNNNNNNNNNNNNNNNNNNNNNNNNNNNNNNNNNNNNNNNNNNNNNAAAUUCGAGAUAGCUUCGGCUAUUUAUGGCACUUAGUGUGCGAUUUGGAAUAGCUUCGGCUAUUUAUGACACUUAGUGUGCGAGACCGAGAUAGCUUUGGCUAUGUAAGGCACUUAGUGUGCGAGAUUAUGAUAGCUUCAGCCAUACGAUGGCAAUUAGUGUAUGAAACAUUGAGUAUUCGAUAAUGUUACGAGAAUGUGUAAGUUCGUAUAGUUAGUUUAUAGUGAUCGAUUAUUAAAUUUGAAUUGAGAUGAUGUAUUAUUUUAUAUAAAUUUGUUAUCUAAUCAUGACUUUAUGCAAGUACGAGAUUAGAUUGAAGGAUCAAUCGUGAGAAAUGCAGGGUCAAGUACAUUCGUACUACAACUCGUAAUGAAUUGACAGAAAAGACCAUGGUUGGACCAUGGCAGUGAGUGUGCCAGUGUAAGACCAUGUCUGGGACAUGGCAUCGGCUCGAGAUGAGAGUCAGUGUAAGACCAUGUCUGGGACAUGGCAUCGGCUCGAGAUGAGAGUCAGUGUAAGACCAUGUCUGGGACAUGGCAUCGGCUCGAGAUUAGUUUUGAGUGCCAGUGUAAGACCAUGUCUGGGACAUGGCAUCGGCACCGAGAUGUGAUCCCAUGUAAGACCAUAUCUGGGAUAUGACAUUGGCGUCCUACCAGGUGUACGAGAUAUCCCGAACAUCUCUAAUAUUACAAGUAGUUCAACGGGAAAUUCAAGGAGUAUGCUCAAGAUUAGUAAGAGUAGGAUAUGUGAGUAUUAUGACUAGGCACAGGUAUGUAUAUGAGAUUCAUAAAUAAUGUGCUCAGAUUAUGAUGCAUUAUUGAUAAGGAUGCAAACGAGUAAGAUGUGUUUAUGAUCACUUGAUUGUUGUGUGCCAAGAUAUAAUAUGCUUUGGUGUAAGUGUAUAUAAAUGAAAGUGAACACCAAGAAUUAAUGAAUGAGUGACCUUAAAACAGUUGUGGGCAGCAGCAUUAGUAUAACUUUGAAAAAUCACAAAAAUGGUGGAAAUUGAUUAAAGUUUGGGUGAGAUAUGAAUAAGAUAUGGGUCUGUCUAUUUUUCCAUAANNNNNNNNNNNNNNNNNNNNNNNNNNNNNNNNNNNNNNNNNNNNNNNNNNNNNNNNNNNNNNNNNNNNNNNNNNNNNNNNNNNNNNNNNNNNNNNNNNNNNNNNNNNNNNNNNNNNNNNNNNNNNNNNNNNNNNNNNNNNNNNNNNNNNNNNNNNNNNNNNNNNNNNNNNNNNNNNNNNNNNNNNNNNNNNNNNNNNNNNNNNNNNNNNNNNNNNNNNNNNNNNNNNNNNNNNNNNNNNNNNNNNNNNNNNNNNNNNNNNNNNNNNNNNNNNNNNNNNNNNNNNNNNNNNNNNNNNNNNNNNNNNNNNNNNNNNNNNNNNNNNNNNNNNNNNNNNNNNNNNNNNNNNNNNNNNNNNNNNNNNNNNNNNNNNNNNNNNNNNNNNNNNNNNNNNNNNNNNNNNNNNNNNNNNNNNNNNNNNNNNNNNNNNNNNNNNNNNNNNNNNNNNNNNNNNNNNNNNNNNNNNNNNNNNNNNNNNNNNNNNNNNNNNNNNNNNNNNNNNNNNNNNNNNNNNNNNNNNNCACAAGUUUAAUAAUUUCUUAUUAUUUUCAUAUGAACUUACUAAGCAUUUAUGCUUACUUCCCCUCUCUUUUCCUUUGCCUUAUAGUAUCGCCAAGUUAGCUCGGGAAUCGGUGGACGUCGGAGAUUUGCUCACACUAUCAAUUAGAACACUUGGUAUAUCUAGAUACAUAAAUUUUUGGGUUACGGCAUGUAUAGUAGGUUUGGUCGUUUUGUCAUAUAUGUCAGAUUUCUUAUGGCCUAAAAUGUUGACCUUUAUUUAAUAAAUGUUCUUUUUGAUUAAGGCUAUUUGGAGAUGGCCAAUACGCCUAUGAUAUGGUUAUUCAUGUAUGUGGUAAUUGCAUAAUUGAAUGUUGUGGAGGUGGUUUACAAAUGAUUUCAUGAAUGACGAUUUGCAUGGGAAUGUGAAUGUAAAAUUGGAUAUUCGGAUGUCCAAUUAUAGUGUGAUACAUGUUGACGAAAUUUUAUAGCCCGGUUUUAUAUGUUCAAGAAAUUUUAAUUUCGGUAACGCCUCGUACCCUGUUCCGGUAUUGGAUACGGGUAAGGGGUGUUACAAAAUGCACCAAUUUGAACCCGUCUGGUGGCCUGGGUAUUCACUGCCACAGGUAUGGCCUGAGUUCUAGUCGCAUUGUUGUUAGUGCUUUGCCCUCCACUUGUAAUUCACUAAAAAAAAUG